GGCCGCUGAUUCUCGAUCUAACGGCUGGGACUCUUCCAGGGCUUCGGCGGCGGCGGACCGGCCGGCGUUGAACCUCCCCGCGGCGGCGCCAUGGGAGGGCACGCCGGAGCUCGCGGUUCUCUCGCUCCCGAGCACCAAAACGCGAAAGAAAAGCUCCGGGAGAUCGAGGGGGAGGAGGCGAACCCACCUAGGUGGUUUACUCGGGCCGAGAGAGGGCGAGGCGGCCGGUUCAAGGCGGCGGCUUGCUUUGCAACGCGGCGAGAUCCAAAACUGACGAAACACGAUGCUAGGGCUCGGUUGGGGUGACUCGGAUGCGAAAAGGGAACUGCGGGAUUGAUUUGGGAGCUUUAUAGGGGCAUGGUGUGCAGGUUGGCAAGAGAUCCCGAGGAAACCGGGAUCGAUUUCCCCUAGAAGAGUCCCACUCGAACCCGGCGUCAGGAGGAAGAAGAGAGGAGUCGCUGACUUGCGGACCCCACGUGUCAGCGAGCUGAAGAGAAAAGGAGGGGAGAGGAGAGCGCGCGACCAGGGCCGGAUUGCUGGGCCGGUGAAGGAAGAAGUGGGCCGGGCGCGGGGAAGAAAAAGAGAAGGGGGAGGAAAGCUGGGCCGAAACCGCGAGUGGGGAGAGGGGGAAAGAAAGGCCGGGGUGGGUCUUUGCCUUUUUUUUUUAUUCCUUUUUCUUUUCUGUUUUCUUUUUCAAAGCAUUUUCUAAAAGGGCUUUUGAGCAUAAAGUAAAUAAAACAAAAUACAAUCAGCACAAAAAUUAUUAUGCUUCGGCAUGAAUGCACAGCCAUGUCUCUAAACUUAUGAUAAAUUUUAUUUCCAACAGAAUUUAUUUAUUUACUACAUUAAGUGCUCAGAAAAAAAAAUGCUUAAUUAAUCAAAUUAAUUCCUAUUGAUUGAAAAUAAAUUUUUUUUUUUUUGGGUGUUACAACCCUGAUGUGGAGAGCCUGUCUGCCCUGUCGCCUCUCCUUGCCGCAACAGGCUUAGGCAGCACGCACAACCUGUUUGGAUGGAAGCCUCGCUCGCCAAGAAGAAAAAUGUUUUCUGAGAGUUGCAUGGAAGUUAGUGAUUUUUACCUGGCCGGGAAAGCCUGUGCAUGAGAACAUCAAUAAGAGGUAUGCAUAGCAAGGAUGUGCAUUAAAUAUCUAUGAUGUGAGAUUAACAUAUACUUAUUAGCUUGAUUAAGAAACUAGUUAAUUCAGAUUAAUAUUAUUUUCCUGAUUAACUAAAGAAUAAUUUAAUAAAAAGUUAAUUGUACUUAAUAACUUAAUAAUACUUUGCAUCCUAAUAUGAGAGAGAGAGAGAGAGAGAAAUAAAAUUACUAAUAUUGCACUUAUAUUUUUGUUAUUUCAUUUUUUUUUUGCUAGUAAUAGUAAUCUUUUAGAACUAGUAUUAUUUUCUUGGUUCACAUUCAAAAGAAGAUAGCUCUAAAAAAACACUAAGAAAGAAAAUAUAUUAGUAUGAUCUAAUACGAUAUAGUCUUCCAGGAAAAAGAAAUAAAGCAGGCAAAUAGCGUUUCAUGUUGUAAACAUUGUUUUAUGAACUUCAUUAAGUGACCAUUAGCAACAAAAAUAGUUCAGUAUGUAAGGGCACUCACAAUGCAGACUCUAUCAUAGAGUCUAAAGUUAUUUAUUACCUCGAACAAUGUGGACUUGGAGUCUAAAUAAGACUUGGAGUCUUAUUUUUUCCACCUCUUUCUUCAAUAAAUAUGCUGCCAUAUCAGCAAAAUACCAUAAAUAAUAUGUAAUUAAGUGUCUUGGACUCUGUGAUAGAGUCUUGCAUUGUGAGUGCCCACAUUGUUCGAGGUAGAAAAAAUAAGACUCCAAGUCUUAUUUAGACUCUAAAUCCACAUUGUUCGAGGUAAUAAAUAAUUUUAGACUCUAUGAUAGAGUCUGCGUUGUGAGUGCCCUAAUUAGGGCAGUCUCCAUAGGGUUUCAUUAGAUUUUGAUGCACAUUAAAUAUGCUAAUGUGACACUGUAUUAAUGAAUAGAGAGAUGAGAAGAGUUUUAUAAGAGUAGAGAGAGUUCAUUAUAUGAAUGUGUUGAAAAUUGUGUCAUGAAACCUCCACUGGGAUACGUUUACGCUCUAGAAUUCAGCAAAGUAGGUCCAGACAAAUCAAGGUGUCUGAUUUUAAAUCAAUGCAUUUUAAAGUAAUAGUAAAAAUAUAAAUAUUUUUAUAGAUUAUUAACUAACAACGUAUGCAAUUCAACGUAAUUAAAGAAUGGAUAGAAGGUUAUUUCUUUAUAAUGGAUACUGUAGAAGGACGUUUGGUAGCCAGUCAACUAGUACUAAUCACCUAUCACGUAUAUUCCACAACCGAGAAAUGUAACACCCAAAAAUUUGCAACUUUUGAAAUAGGUGAAAAAUGAUUUAAUUUUGUAUUUUUGUGCUCAUGAAACAUAGGAAAAUAAUAUUUUUUGUUAAAUUAAAAUUUAUCAUAAGACUUAGCAAUAAUGUUGUGCAUACAUGCUGGUACAGAAGGUUUAGUGUAAUGUUUGAUUGUUUCUUCUUUGUGUGUUGAUAGUGAGAAAAAUAUUUUAAAAUACGUUUAUUAGAUUGAUCUUCCUUCUUCGGCACAUAUUUAUAUUUUUCUACGAUCAAAUUUCUUUUCUCUCAGCUCAAGAUUUCAUUCAGAGUAUCUUAGAAUUUUUUCUUUCAAACCUAAGUCACUCCUUUCAGUUUCUCGUCCAUCAGGAGAUCUCUACAAAAGUUCUCAGGAAAUUUUUCCGACCUUUUCCAUGAGCAUAAUCUAUCUAAUUUUUUAGAUGUUCCAAAUUAUCUUAUCAUAAACUCUAAAUAUUUUAUUUAGGUUCUUCGUCUUCCAUAAUGUCUCUGAUAAUUUUUCAUGAAUUUUUGGAGGUUUUAGAGUAUUUGUCUUGGCUUAAAUAAUAAUUCUAGGUUUUUAAGAAUUAAUUUUAUAACUAAAAUUAAAUAUUCCGAAAAUAAUAAAAUCUAGUCCUUCUCCAACUUGGCUUUAACCUAGCCUAUAUAAAUGCUUGCCCACGUUUCUCUCUUUGAUCUAGCUGUGAUCUAAAAUCCUUUCUCCCGAGCCGCCGCCAAAGUUCUCCCGUUCCCGGCGCCAUGUACCCUAGCUUUCUCCCUGUGAUGUUGAAAAGGCAACGCCGAAACCAAAGCCGGAGAAAAACUAUCUCAAGAAGAAGCACCGCCGUUCCCAUCUCCUUGAGUUUGUUGCUAGUCAGAUCGGCCACCAGACGGACCCUAGUGGUCAUCUAGCACACGCCGGUGAGGACGCCUCGACUCUCUCUUCUUUCUCUCUGCACUCAGUUUAUUUCAUCAUCGUGUAUUUGUGUGCUUGCAAGGAAAUCAGCGUAUGCAUGUCACCUUGUUCUGCAAGCUGGGCAUCUACCUCAAAGCACCAGCGUCCUUGCCAGCUGCUGCCUCUCUCGCCGAGCAAGCCAGGCUCAUGUCUCCAUCCUCGCCAUAUCAAGCAGCUCCUGCAUGUUUAUUUCUUCACUGCUAGGGAGAAAAUCAAGCCAUUACAACAUGCAAAGGAUUCUCCCACAAAUUCACCAAGUGCGUAUGCCGGUAUCUGUACGUAUCUUCUGCCCCACUUAUAACUUCAAAGAGCAGAUUCAUCAUAUAGAGAACAUAUCUCAUCUUGUAACGCAGAAGCAAUCAAGGCAACUCACACACGUGCAGUUAUCCAGUUCACAUCUUAUCCGAUUUAGUUAUGUUUCAGUUCGUUCGCUGCGUAAGUUUCAUACCGCUAUGAUCUAUGGCCGGUUACUAGCUUGAUGAGGUCAUGAUGAUGAUAUGAUGACAUCAUGUGAGUUUUGUGGCCGUUUUCCUUUAGAAAAACAAACCUAGAAAUACAAAGAAAAUACGCUAGUUUGUUUAGGCCAUAUCAUCUCUGUUUUAACUCCGUUUUUGUCCAUUCAAAUUGCGUUAGGUUCGUAAUCACGAGCACUACAUGUUAGUAAUAUUGUUCACUCAGUUUAAAACUUUUUAUUCUCGUGAUAUUUACGUCUAUGAAAUUGUAGCGAUGCGUAGAAUCAUCUUAUAAACUUUUCAUACUGUUUUUAUAUGAUUGGUGUACUGUUCUAAUUGUAGUAUUGUUUGCUUCGUGUAUAUUUGUCUUCGAUUGUUAUGUGUUGGUGAUUGAUGAUCGGGAUUAGACGGUGAGCCGUACGUUGGUGAGCCAGACCAAGCCUUUGAAGACCAGCAGGCUCAGGAGAGCUUUGAGCAAGGCAAGUAUAACUGGGGAUCAUCCUUGUUACCUAUACACAAUUAAUACAAUAUUUAUCAUAUGCAUGUGUCCACCUUGAUGACCUUAGCAAAAUCAUAGAUGAUUGUUAUCCUGAAUUCCUUGUUACCUAUUUGGAUAUGCAUGUGGGUAGUUCUUGCUAGCGCUUGAUUAUUAAUCCAUGAUCUUGUGACAUGAAUAUUUGAAUAUACAAUAAACAAUAAAAUAAGCUUUCUAGCAACUUGAAUAUAAAGGGUGGAAAGAACUCUGGCUUUUGCUGGAUUGAUCUUGACCCUCCAUAAGGACUUAUCAUUUGGCAAAAGCUGGGACAACUCGUACAACCAUGAGGGCUACAUGGCUCUGGUUUUAGCUCAGUAUGAGGAUCUUUUUCUAGCUUGUUAGCGGUUACCUUAAAUGGCGUAAGAAUGGCUAGACACGUUGGGUAUAGUGUGGCCUCUGUCCAUGUGUAUAGUCUGCGGGUUAUGUGCCAUGGAAGGGGGGCACUAUAUCUGCCUGCCGAGUGAAUCUAAUGGCCCUAACUUGUUAGACGAAACCUUUGAAAGGCUUCAUAGUGAUCCCUGCCGACCUCCCUAGGAAGAGGGUUAAGAGACUUGCAACCUCGGGCGAAAGGGUAAAUCACGACUCAUGGGUAAAGAUGUACAACCUCUGCAGAGUGUUAAAUCUGGUAUACUAGCCGUGCCCACGGAUACGGACGGCCCGAAAAACUGACGGAAUAGAUGGACACUGAUGAAUAUGAUUAAUGAUGAUAAAUGAUGGUUUAUUAUGUUGUUUAUAUGUGUUAUUCUUAAUUCUUGUUUACAAUUGAUCAUGUGGUUAUGGGAUUAAUUAUGCUACCUUGAUAUUUGCUAUCCAAUGAUAAAUAUGCUAUGUACAUAUAAAAGCUAAAUGCAGUCAAACCAGUGUCAGCUUUUUGAGCCUCAUGAACCUCUGGUUAUAUAUACUUGUUGAGUAUGAUAUGUGCUCACUCUUGCAAUUUCCCCCACACCUCAGGAGAAGUUUUGGGCUUGUGAUCAACCAGUCAGUUUGAUCCUGUGGAGAGGAGUUAAUACCUGAUGUUUGGAGUUGUCUAUCCGCUGUUUGAUACUAAAGGUUAUCUCUUUUAUAAGUACGUUAUAUAUUACGCAUUGUCUUAUGAUAUUUCUCUUUAUUUGUAGCUCUAUGUGAGAUUUGACUUCUAAAACUCACAUAUGGUGCAUAUCUGGUUUUGUCCUUAAAAUCGGAUAUUACAAGAAAUCAUCUAGCAAAUGAAUGAAAGAUAGGAAGAAACAAAACCUACACGUAUUCCAAUCAGCCAGUAGCAUUAAUCACUUCCCAGGCAACAAGCAUGGUGUAGCCAGGCGCUCGAUUUCUCAGUGGCCUGGCUGAGGCCAAGCAUGCCUGGUCCAGGAACAUUUCCAGGGCUCCAUCCAAACGCAGGCCAGGCAAAUCUAGUCCAGGCUGCAAACCAAACAAGCCAACACUGCCUCUGCUCGGGUGGCAUCUAUCAUCGUCCCUGCGACAUUCAAAAGAAAUCAUCAUCCCUGCCACACCAGAUACAAGCUGGUCAUCAAGGAUUAUUCAAUAUCCAAUACUGUAAUGAUCCAAAUACUCAAGUUGUAUAUUUAUAAUUUCGAUAUACAUUCGUAUCAUCUGAUAUAGGUGAUAGUGUUUGUAUUUGAAUCUAAACUAGAAUACAAAUACAAAAAUAAAUAUAAUAUUAACAAUAUCUGUAUGUAUCUUGUCUGUUUACACCUAGUGUGGGGCAUGCCUUACGGUUUGGGUUGUCUAAUAAAAUGUAUGUACAGGGGCGAGGCCUCUUCAUUCUUAACCUUUUCUUUUUCUUCUUCUUCUUUUCUUUUAUUCAUUAUUCUAUUUAUACCGCUCUUUAUGUAGUAUCCAUGCGAUGUUAUUUUUUCUUUUAUAUAUUAUAUGUAUGUUGUUUCCAUUUUAUUAUUUUUGUUUUUCUUAUGCUUGGUUUUAUCUUUUAUUAAUUUUAUUUUAAUUUAAGAUAUUCAUUUAUUUCACUUUUCUAUAUAUUUCAUAUGUUACUCAUUUUUAUUUCUAUUUUUCUUCUUGGUUAUUUUACUCUAAUUAAUUAUGAGAUACAUGCGAUGUUUGUAUGAUAUAUUAUGAAAUGUUAACAUAGUAUAAAUGUGAUGUUUCACGAUUAUCUUUAAGUACUCAAAAGUUACAUUACAUAUGAGAUAUUCUGUGAUAUAGAUUAGGUGUGGUUCACAUAGUAUAAACGUGAUGUUUCACGAUUAUCUUUGAGUACUAUCCAUGUGAUGUUUUUUAUAUUAAUGCUGCCUUGUAUUUUUUUGUUUUCCUUUAUGUUUUCUCUGUUUUGUUAAUUAUUUAUAUUAUAUUAUGUUAGUCAUCGAUUUAUGUAUCUCUAUAUAUUUCAUAGCCAUUGUUGUUUUUUAUUUUCAUGAAGAUUAUAUUAUCAAUCACUAUAAUCUAUAAUUUUUUCUUUCUAGAUCUAGAAUACGAUUGUUCUAAAUCAAGAAUAUUUUUCUUGUGAAGGCGGAAUAUUGCUUCCCAAUGCUAGAACAUCACCUCUUCUCAAUCGAAGAAAAUAUUGUAUUUUCAUGAGAUAAGAUGUUUAUUAACAAAACUUUAUCAAAAUAUACCUAUGUGAGCUCUUGUUUCGAAGGAUUUAUUGCAAAAAAAAACUCAACGAUGCAAUCAAAAACUAAUUUAGAUGGCCAAUUCAGUAGUUAUGACUUCCUUUCAGCUUCUAAAUAACAAUGACAUCAACACAACAAUUGUUGCUUUCCAUGCACAUCUUAGUGUGGAAACAUGGACCGGUUCGAGCAGGGCUAGAUGCGAACCGAUCAAAGCCUAUAUGCGUCCAUACGACAUAGUUCCUUGAUGACAUGUUGUAAAAAUGGCGUUAGCCAAUUGUGUCCAUAAUCACCAAAACACUAUUAUCUCCACAACAUGGUCUAGCUAGAUGUGUUUAGUGGAAGUGGAUCCUAUGUGAGUGUUCUCUUGAGGCACUAGUGGCCUUCAUAGCGACUCAUAACGUUGCUCCAUUGAGGUAGCGUGUCUUGUGUAGGCAGAUCCGAUGUGGGCAACAUACAUAGCGGUGUGCAACCUUGCACCCUCGAAUCCUCUUGGUUGCAAAACUAAAUAGUUCGAAUGUAAUGUAAAUAGAACGAAAUUUAUUGUGUAAAAUGAAAUAGUAGGUACAACGCAUGUAGAUCUAGCCUAGGCGCUCUCCAAAGUAGUGGGAAGCCUCCAUAGCAAUAGACAACCUUGAUCCCUCAAGGCAGUGGAUUUGAUGCAGGUGGAACCAGCAUUGGCAGCCUCUAUGACGACGUCGCUGGUAUUGCGAUCCAACGUGCGAGUCCCAAGUUCAAGUAUUCACAAGCGCAUGCGGGUCCAAUGGUGAUACUGAUUGAGACAACCAUGUCUUGUGUAAAGUUGUGUGGAAGGUUUGGAUGCAUGUUGGUUUCAAUUUUAUGACUUGAAGAUUAGCAAGUUGAAGUCCCUCUGAUGCAUAUGGUAGAUUGGUGACAAGAGCAAGGACAAGGACAACAUGGGCGAUUCAUGUUGAGCACCCCCAUUGCACUAGUUCCAUGUCUAUUGGCGAAAUGAUUGGGGAUACAUGGAAAAUAGGGGUGGCAUCACUCCUUAGCUACCACAACUAUGCACAGACUCUAGCAGCGUCAACUAGUGGCGAUGGUGUGUCCAAAGGCAAGUAACCAAGUAGUUUCUUUUUUCUUUUUUUGUGUUAAAUCUAUUUCUAGUGGCGAGCAUCAUAAGACACCUGCCACUAGAAAUAGGAGUUGCACAAGCACACUCUUUCUUCUGCCUUUGGAAAGAUGAAUUUCACAUAAUUUUAACUACAAGUGGUCCUCCCUAUCGUGUCUGGAAAUAUAUAUAUAUAUAUAUAUAUAUAUAUAUACCGCAUAAAAAACUCAAAAAUGUAAUAGCGGUAGUUGAUUGUGUAUAAAGUGCAUUUCAAUUACGUUUAGAUUCAGGAAUGGCUCUCCAAAUACAUCUAAACAAACAUUUCCUAGGAUUAAUAAGCAUAGAACAUGACUGAUCUUCUACAUGUUUCUCUAGCAAACACCAACAAGGAAAUCAUUGAGUAGUGUCUUAACAUAAAAGAAUAGAAUUCGAUUAAUCCACAUAAGUUAAAUAUAGUCUUUUGAUUCAUAAUGCACACAACUUUAAUUGGUCUUUUUAAAAACUUGUUGAAAAUUGCAAUGCAUACUUGGAAGCCUCUCGAAUGUUCUUUUGUAAUUCCAAGAGAUUGAGGAAGGAUUUACCAUGAUUCUCAAAUUGUGGUGAAAAAUGAAGAUAACCAACAAUGCUUCAAUGGUAAUUUCUUUUUCCCUGACCAACUAUCUAGAAACUAACAAGGAUGAGGAUAUUCUCAAGUAUAUAGAUAUUUUGCUAAAAAAAAUUGUGUACUCCGCCACGUGGCACAGAUCUAAGGUCAUAUAUAACACUAUAAAAAGAGGUACCCUUCAUCCCAAAGAAUUAUGCCAUCAUAUUUUAUAGGGCAAUGCAAGUAAAAGAUAUAUUAAAUAACAUAGAUAGGAAUCAUGAAUAGGUGUGGUAAGGAACAUUUAUAAAUAAUAUAUAAAGUGAAGGUAUCACACCCAAUCCAAAAUAUCUCGCAAAGUAGUUAUUCAUCAUUGUUUCCAUUCGUUGGAUAGUAGAUUAGCAUAAGUGAACUUCUUAAGAUCACAGAUUAACAAUAAACCAACUAAAACUAAAGUUAAUCUACCGGAAGAAAGAUGUGUGACUGCGGUGUGGAUGGAAUGCGGCGAAUGUCGAUCGAUGAUUGAUCAGAUGGGAAUUUGGAUACGGUUUAUAUAGCGUGAGAUACAUGUUUGAUCUGAGAUCAAGUAAGGUUGACAGCUGCUGCAUGCAUGCAUGCCAUCGCGCGAAACGGACGUGUGGUUACGCUCGUUUCGAUCGGACCUCAGAACGUAAUUUAUUUUGCUCACAACUAAGAACUUCUUAGAUGGUGUUCUAACUAAAGUUAAGAUAAUAUUAUAGAAGAGUUAUUCUCCUCGUUUUGUCAUGUUUAGAGAUUCACUAGCAUCAUACUAGAGGAUCUAGGCUCAUCAACAGAUAUCACUUGUUGCUGAACACAUGAAAAACCAUCAGACCAAAAAACAGCCACACCAUGCUUUCAAAUGGCAACAUAGUUUGUGUAUUCUACUAUUAAAAUGUCCCAACACACAGAAGCAGCCGCUAACUCUACCGCUACGUGGGUGAACUACGCCACCGCCUUGGUGGACUCCAGCAUCAUCUGCAAGGCAGUCGUCUUGGGCUUCGCUAAGUAAACCACACUCAGGCCAACCAGGAUCACACUUGACACGAAUGUGACAGAAACAUGCAUAGUCUCACGAACCGUCUUAGAAGCCUUGGUCGUCGACUCACUAAAAACAAAAAUUAGUCAUCAUCCAACUAGCGGGUGGGAUGAGGGAUGGAGAGAGAAGUGCAAGAGAUAGAGAAGAGUGUACUUAAACACCUUUUAGUGCAUUCCUUAGGUCAACACUCAUAGAGUUCUUGAUGUCGAGCGCCUCUGCCUUCUUGACAAUGGUCGCCUCCACCUCAAAGAUCCGUCUGUACAGACGCAUCUCCGCGUCAGACAUGGAGCUCGAAGUAGGGCAGGGUAGAGAGCUGAAGGUUCGACUAGGAAUAGCGGGCGUGGUAGCAGUGCCGUAGAGCUGCUCUGAUGAGCCUGAGCCUGACCAUAUUUUUGAUAACGGUGACAUGUAAGUGCAAUUAAGCUCUAAAUGGGUUUUGGUGAUGUUGACCACAUAAUUAAAGAAUUUAUGGUUUAUCUAAGUGUUUUACAGUGUUUCAUUAGUCAUGGGUACAAAGAAACAAAGAAGGAGACCCCCAACUUGAAUGGAUGGCUUGCAAUGGUUUAAUUCCUUUUAUAUUUUUGAAAUUGAGUUAUAGGACAAGACGUACUAUCAAGAUGAUACUGAUAGUGGUUUGGGUGGAACUAAGUGCUCAAAAUACUACACAUAACUCAAAUAAUUGCAGCCACAAAAGCCAGCUGAGCUGAAAUCUUUUAUGUUCUGUCCAGCGUGCAACCUCUGUGCCCAAACGUGGAGGCUCCAAGGCCUGGUUGACCCCGACUGUUUUGUGAGUGACGUGGGUGGUACCAUACCCCUUCACCCCAAUGGUUAUCUUCUUUCUCAUUUACUCUGGCUACUCCCUAGCUCAAAUCUUGUUGAUUCCUUGAAGGAUUUGGCUCUAGAGAGUGUGAGAAUGCUCGAAAAGAUCAUUCUCCUCCAUUCUUGUGCCCACGGUGAAGCCCUAGCCAUUUGAUUUGUUUGUUACUCUUGGAGCUUAGCUCCUAGACAACUAGCUGUCACCCAGGAGCUCCCAACCUGCUGGUUUAGCACCGGAACGUAUGUAUUACCCUUCAUGACUUAGUGGAACCCUCUAACCUACUGCCUUGGUGGUAGGUUAGAGAAGAGGAGCGAGUUGCAAGAGACUCCAUAGCCUUCAUGGCUAACCUUAAUAACGUGGACGUAGGCUAGCCUUUGUGGCAAACUGAACCACAAGAUAAAUUCUUGUGUCUUUGUGAUUGUGAUUGUUGUUGCUAUUACUUGUGAUUUGAAAUGGUUUUUAGGAUUUGCAUCCGAUCUACGUAUCCCUCAUUCUCUAGGUGCAACCAACUGUUUGCAUAACUCAACAUACUCCCUAGGAAGGCUGGUAUUACAUUUGAUCUAUUUUUCAUUCAUUAAAUUCCACAGUAGAUUCAUUUAUUACUCUGAUCAUAGAGGUUCCAUGCUUAGCUCCAAAACCUUUGUGUCCCUAGAACCUCCAUGCUCCAGCCCGGAGGUUCCAUGUUCUGAUUGUUUUGUGAAGUUGUUUAAAAUUCAAAAAGGCAUAUUCACCCUCCCUCUAAGGUUACUUGCUAGAUCCUUUCAUGAUGGCGGCAAGGAAGGGGGAAGGGAAGGGCGAGGGAAGACAGACUGCGGUGGUGGGAGGAGAGGUUUUGGUUAUGGUCUAGGUUACGAUGGGCCUUGAAGACGCUUUCGGCCCGUGUCGGGCUUGCCUAUAGCCUCGGCUUUGUUGCACCUUAUGUUUUUUUUGAAUGAAAACAUGACCACAAUAACAAAGUCUACUUGUCUCCCACCGCCCUGACACCUCGGAUGUUAAUCGAGGAGUCUCCCACUGCCCUGACACCUCCCCACCAUUCUCCCCACCCCGAAAGCACUAUAACUCAGCUAAUUUAGUUCCCCUAAAUUAGUUAAUUUAGUUCGUUAUUCUAGGUAAUAGUUAGUUAAUGAAUUAGUUAUUCAGUUAGCUAGUAUAUAUGGGCCUACCUCCUGACGAAAAUGUGACUACUUGGAUGAAGCCUGUCGCCGCACGUGUGUCGUUGCUGUUCCUUCCCUUCAUCGUUUAUCGGCUUUAUCUCGAGCGAGAUCGUAGGAAGCAGGCACAGACCGACCAACCGACCGACUGACCGUGAGGACCAUCUUGGCGACACGAUAGGCUUCGGGUUCCAUGUUGCUGCCGCCCUUCCACUACCAGAUCCGACCUUUUUUGUUCUUUUGGGUGCUAGCAAGGCAACAAUGGAGCAACUUAACCCACAGCAUGUGGCCGCUGUAGCGACGGUGCUAUAUUCAUCUCAAUUUAUAUGUACUAAAGUGGAUUGAAGUGGAAUUAAACUAAUUUUAUUCAGUUCAUAACAACACUUGUGAAUUGAAGUGAAUAAACAUACAUCCAAACAAGGCCUUACAUAUGGAUCUCACUGUGAUGAUCCCGCUGGAGGAUUUGCGGAGUUGAAUCUUGUUCGCCACACGGGUCCGAGUUCUGGGUAGUUUCUCCACAGGUUGGUGAUGAACUGCCACCUUUUGAGAUAUUGUAUCUGUCUCAGCUGACAGUGACUCGUGCAUCGUCUUCGGUGGUGUACUGGUGUUGCAAGGAGCACAGGCGGUGAUAUUAUAUUAAAUAUAAAGGCGAUGGUCGGUUAAACUAAACGUCCCUGCCGUUCUCACGGGCGGGCUCGACGGAUGCUUGGCCCCUUGCGCUUACUUGCGUUGCUGCAUGAGAUAGGGAGAUCAACUAAACUACUCCUCAUGUGCAGAUAUAUAAACAUGAUCAAUAUGCAAGCUGCCACUUGCCACAUUGCCAUCGAUCGAUCGUAGUGUUGGCAAUGGGUAAAUUCCCAUCGGGUAUGAACUCCCCAGACCCAUCCCCGUGACAACAAUAUGACACCACGGGUAUCCCCAUAUACAGUGAUGGGUGGAGGAAUUUUUCCAGACCCAUACCCGGGUGGGUAAAUUAGACCCGGCGGGUCACCCAUACCCGCCAAACAUCAGCAAUUCACAAGCACCAGUCACGUAGUAGCAAUUAACAAGCAUCGUCACAUAGCAAUUCACAAGCAUCGUCACAUAGCCAUUCACAAGCAUCGUCACAUAGCCACCUCACCAUAUACCUAGCAAAUAGCAACAUAAUAAUUUCUGCUGCAACCACUAGUCACAACACCAUAAUAGUUCAUUGUUCAUACAAAUCACGUAGUAGAGAGUAGUACUUUGCUAGCACUACAUAGGGUUUCAGUGUAUGGGCUGCCGGUGGACUGGUGGUUGGUGGGCUUCUUUAGUUUUGGGCUGGGUAUUUUUCACCCAUGGGUAAAUGGGUAUGGGGACUACUAAAACGUCCCCAUAUCCGUGUACCCAAUGGGUGAAGGGUUUGCUCCGUUUGUGUACCAUAGGUACUUAUUUCACUCCAUAUUGAUACCCUAAUAGAGUAAAUACCCAUCGGGUCGCGGAUCGCGGGCCGCAUUGACAUCUUUAAUCGAUCGGUUUCGGCCACACGGCUGCAACUACGAACUAGUAUGCUGGACUAGGCUGCUGUACAGCUCGAUAUAUAUAUCAUCGGCCUAGGCCCAACAGUAAGUACCAAAAAAGCCGUUACGUCAGAUGCAUGCAUGAAUGCAUAUACAGACACACAUCUUGCAUACAAAGUACAGUAUUAAACUAGUGCCAAUGAUUCCAACAUAUUUUAACAGCAUUAUGGGUUCAGUUGUAAUAUGAUUGGCGGUUUUAUAAUCUCCCAGUUGUAACAUGCACGCUGGCAGUACGUAUCUUGCUUGUCUGACUAAAUUGGGAAGCACAUAUAUGUCGUGGUUAAUGUGAGAGAGCCUCUCGCACGCUAUUUGGAAGCACCAAACCUGCGGAACGUGGGCCUUUUGAUUCGCUAAAAAGAAAAUGUGUGGCCUCCAUUUGAUCCUGGAAAAAAGACAAAUAGCAGUUUUAGGAGUAGUUGUAUUGAGCAUGACUUGAGCACUUGUGUGCCUCCAUUUAGGCUCUGUUUGGUUUCUAUUGCUAAAUUUUAACCAGUUAAAAUUAUUUUAGCUACUCUUAGGUGACUAGUGAGACUAAACUAUUUUAGCUCUUUUUAAGUUAGUAUGUUUAGAAAUUUAACUACUAAAGUAACUAAAAUUUAGCUGGCUAAAAUUUAGCAAGAAAACCAAACAGACCCUUAGACGACAACAACAGUUUUUAUCUCCCUACUUCUUCCCCAGAUCUGGCGGUGGCUAGGGUUCCGGUUGUCCGCGCCACCCCUUUUUUUCCCCAAACCCGACAGUCUUAGAGCAUCUCCAAGAGACUAGGUAAAAUUAUAUUCUAAACUACAAAUUUUAGCCAUUGUGUAAAAUAAAAAACCUACUCAAAGCAUAGGGUUUCACAACAGACUUUGUAUAGGAUAGCUAGUGAGGACGACAUGCUAUAUAUGACAAGCGAAAGUUUAGGAAUAGCAAACUUGCGAUUUUAGCAAACCAGAUAGCACACCUGUUGAACUUUAAUUUUUGCUUUAAAAAUAUAAAAAUAGCUUAGAUAACAUAGAUAGUAUAUCUGCUGGAGUUGCUCUUAGAAGAGAAAGAGUUCGGGAGAGACAAGCUGGUCAGGCGAUGGGGAUGGCGGCAAGCAGCAUUAGGGCCCUGGCGGCGGUGGAGGGUGUCAGGGCAGGGGCGUCUCGACAAGCUUGUUGGCGUGCUGCCCUAGGGUUAGGUGGGUGGGGCGAGUUGCGGGUCAUGCGUCGAGGCGGCUCGCUGCCGGCCACCAGUGAUGGGGGCAGGGGGCGAGGACGAGGUUCUCCGAUAGCAACCUUCCUUGUCUUUUUGGGAGGGCGGGCUCAACAAAUCAAUGGCGGACGGUGGGUAGGAUGGUCGACAGCUAGGCAGCAACGGCCAGAGGAGGCGAGGGUGGGGGAGGCGCGGCGCCGAUGAGGGAGAAGGCCGGGGGAGGAGUCUAUGAAGAAGGUGAAUGAUGGUUAAGCAAACCAUCAUCAUCCGAGGAGGAUACACACACACACUCUUUUUUUCACUGUUUCUUUCUUGGCACUCAGCGUGUUGGUUAGUAUCCUAUCUAUUUGAGACUUGGGGUGGCUGGAUCUGGCCUUGGCGCGGGCGGAUCCCGCGACGGUGGUGCAUGUGGAGGCUCAGAUCGAGGCCCAGUUAGGACUAGGCUGCAGGCUUUUCUGUUUUCUAGUUUUGUUUAUCGAGAUAGGUAUUUGAACAGUCUUAGUAAAAAAAUUUUAGCGUGAUCUUCCCGCCAAGGCGAUCGAUGCCCACCUGAGAAAAUCCUUUCUCGGUUAAGUUUACAAUAGUAGUGAAUGAUCUGCAAUUUAGAAACUGGAAUUUCAGAAAAAGGGACAAAUCAAAUGCUGUAAUAAUUCUCUCCACCUGCACUGAGAUCGAUUUUACUGGGUUUCCUCUUAUUAAUGAGAAACUUGCCAAAUGCCAAGCACGUUCACGGAAAAAAAAAAACUAGGUUUGGCAUCUCAUAUCUUGCACUUUUUGAGACUUAUGUACAGUUUAUUUACUACGCUCUUGUCGCUAUGUACAUGUGCAGUUGAACGACAAGCUCGGCCCGUGCUGUAACUUUUAGCACGUACACAACACAUAGGAGUACUUGUGUUUCACAUAUAUGGCCGCUACUGGAGCUAGCAGCAGCUGAAGCCUACAGGAUUACACGUACAACCACCAGCUGGGCUCGAAGGAGCAGCUUUGCCUCCUCUUCUCAUCAGUUGAGGUGCUCCUUUGGACCACCCUCUGACCAUGCCCUUUAUUCUUCAAAACAAACCUUUUUUUUUUCUUUCUCUCGAGGGCCUAUUAACACACCUUGUAUACGUACGACUACGUAAUACGUACAUGUACACUUGUACUGUUGUACACGCCGAACGGUGCCUCUCAUAUCACCGCUCGAACUUGUUGCCCAUCACGAGCAGAUCCACUAACCUGCCAACUGGCGGCGGGACGCUGAGCGGAGGAGCGGCGACGCCAGGCUACUGCUGGCCCUGGACGCCGCCGGCGACGUGGCCGGGGACAUCGACGACGGCGCGGCGUGCCAGCUGCCGCUGCUGCUGCCAGAGUCGACGACGCAGAAGAGCGCCGACGAACCACACGGCUGGUGGUGGUGGUCGCCGCCGUACAGCAGGCGGCUUCCGAUGGCGACCUGAUGCCUCGCCUUCCUGUACUCCACGAUGGCUCGGUACACCAACGGGAUCAGGCCUUCCAUUGCAAUGGCGACCGAGAGCUUGCUAUACCUUGCUGAGCUCCUCGAGCUCGAGCAAGAAGUGAGCCUCACUCAACGAUGCUAUAAAAGGGGGGUGGUCCUUCUUCAUCUCUGGUCCCUCAUGAGGCUAGCUAGCAGCUAUCUGCUGCUUUUCACCUACAAAUGCAAGACGUAUACGUCUCACCAAAUCCACUGUUUAGAUAGAUUUUUCUAGUGGCAUCCGGUGAAUGUGAAUCCUUCCAUUGGCGACCCCCAAUGCUUAUCCGCAGCUGUACCUGCAACUGCUGCUUCCUCUUCCUGAUCAUUGAUGGUCAAGCACAAGCUAGUCUUAGUCUCUGUUGUCUCAUUCUUCCUCAGUAUACAGGGUGAUCAAAUCACAGUGACAAUUAUUGUAGAGAGAGAGGUGAUGUGAAGGAGGGUGUGAGCUUAAAUCUUUGAAUCGCUUGCUGGUGGCGGGUAACUUUCACUACUGGCAACAACUGGAUGGGCGGGAAAUAUAGAUCAGAUAGGUUCGGUCGAUGGAUGGCCGACAUGGAUCUUCUCGUUGAAGAUGAAUAUGAGACAGCGUGGAUGCGAAGCUUCAGAGGCUCAGAGCUACGCAUCCUCCAUUUCAUCUAGUAAAUGUUUCUUUAAGCCAUUUGCAAAGGAAAACUUAUCUGAAGUUUUGGCUAUACUGUUACUUUCGUUAUCACAUACUUGCACUCCUGCAAAAAUAUAUUCAACCUUCGUAAGGCCAGAAGCCCAUAACAGCAUAGUUCAGUUAAUACCACUUACAAGCAGGGAACAACGAUAUGUAUGUAGGGAACUAGAUCACAAAAUCGAUGGUGCCAUUAACAAACAACUUUACUGCAGUUCCUUUAGUUCACUCAUUCGUUGGAACGACAUCAACAACUCUGAAACAAGCACUGCUUGGCAAUUGGAAUUUGGCGGCACUACACUUGGAUGUCCGCACUCCAUUACCGAAAAGACAAACCAAAGUUCGGGGCACUCACGCACGCUCCACCGAUGUGCCCUCUUGAUGUGCUCGUCUCACCAAAAAGCAGUAGCCAAGAAGCCAAAUCUUGGCACAUCAAAGUAUCUAACUCUGUACCUAUCUCUCUUUCAAUUUAUUUGAUUUCAUCAUAUGCUUUCUUGGGUGCAAACGAAAUGAAUAAGACUAGUCGGUACUCCCUCCAUCUCAAAUUAUAAGAUGUUUGACUUUUUUUACCCUAAGUUUGACCACUCAUCUUAUUCAAAAAAAAACUAUACAAAAAUAGUCAAAUUUUAAUUCAUUCUUGAAGAAUCUUUAUUAAUAAACCAAGCCACGAUAAAAAAAAGUAAUAUUUUGCACAAAUUUUUAAAUAAGAUAAGUGGUCAAACAUGGUAUAAAAAAAUCAAACGUCUUAUAAUUUAGACGGAUUAAGUACUUGGUCCCUUGUUAUAGUUGACCAAAUGAAUAGCCUGGAGUAUGUGUGAUAUGUCCAUGCAGCUUCAUGUUCCCAGCACACCUGCUGUACGUAGUGACUGGUUACCUGUAGCAACAGAAUGUGUCAAAGUAUUGUUAAACUUCAGUUCAGGUGCUGGGUAUACAUCAACAGGUCAGAAUGUUCUGAAUAGUAAGCCCUGGUUAGCCGAUUGAACUAUAAUUAAGCCAAAAAAAUGGUAUCAAAUAGACAUUAAAGGGGGUUGCUUAAGAGCACAGCAUUCCGUAGCUUGAAUUUUUACAGCUCGUCAGAUGAUCAUUGUGAAACCGGCAAUAUAAGCUUGCAACUAACUUGAGCCUUCAGUUUUACUUGUGCGGGAAGAUUACACUUUUCUCGUGUAAAGGCAUAUCACUGCGAACACAUGAUCAAUAUGUACCUAGCCAUGCGGCUCAAUUUGUGAUAAGUGAUUGUCAAUCCGUAGCGCUUUGGGUUGAGUUGUUGAACUAACUGAGGUGUGAGUUUGGGUUACGUAACAUGUCUCUUAGCUUGUGGUAAGCAGGUGUGGAGCUCAGAGAUGGUGGCCGAGGCAAGGUCAAGGUCAAAUAGGUCCCUGCCAAUAGACCGAGAGCGUUGAAGAACGGAUGUUGGGGGCUUCGAUCGGGGGAUCAGUGAUCGAAGCCGGGUCACUGACCAUGGUGGCUAACACUUGAAGUCAUCGAUAACUGCAAAAGUACAUGAGAGGUGGACCAUGUUGAUCAAGUCUAGACAGUGGACAGGCAAGCCAAGCGGAGACGCUAGAGGACUUAACGGCCGAGCAGUCGGGACGACAGUGACACAUGUCGAGUUCGUGGGGUGAGCAUAUGGAGUAUGCUCCUCACGAGUGGUUUGGUAGUUUGGACUCCAAAACCAGCGGGAUAGUUUUUGAAUUUGGGUCUCAAAACCUGAUUACGGUUUUGAAGGGAAUCGGUGGCAGCACGUGGCAUCAUUGCGAAGCUUGCGUCUAGGCAAACCUUAGUCAUAAAGGGCACAUGACCCUCGGAUCAGCGGAUCUUUGAGUUGGACUAUAAUACCGUUGGGUUAUGUGGUUCACUCUAAUUGCCUAAAUGUAAUUAGGGAAUGCGUAAUAGUCUCUAUAAAUAAGAGGAGAGGUACCCCCAAUCAGCCUUAUCUCUCUAGUUAGUCAUUUUCUGUUUGGGUUUCCCUGUCCCUAGACUACUAUAGUGAUUUGUAGAUGAUCUAGCAAAUCAUUCAUCUGUGUAAACCAACUUGUGAAUCUGAUCUAAGUGGAAAUGGAGUUCGUGUUUUGAUUUUUGUUUUGUAGUUUCAUCUCCCGGUCUCCCUCCCUUCUGUUUUGCUUCGGUUCAUCACUUUGAUUACAUAUAAACUCUAUGUUCCCAACACACCUGCUGGUACUGUACGUAGUGACAGCCUAUCAAUAUCUGUAGCACCAAAAUGUGUAAAGUAUCGCUAAACUUCAGUUCAGGACAUGGCGCAAGGUAUACAUGAAAAGGUCAUAAUGUUCUGAAUAAUGAGCUCUGGUUAGACUAAACUAUUCCAAAGAUAAAAAAAAUAGUAUUGGAUGGACACUAGAGGGGGUUGCUUAUUAAGAGCACACAAUUCCACAAAUUUUAAUGGCUCAUCAGAUGCAGAGAAAGCAUAGAAAAUAAUAGUAACGAGGAGGACAAAACAGCUUCAAAACUUUGCCUACAAGUUGCAUACAAAGGUCUUGUUUAGUUAUACCUAAAAUCCAAAAAGUUUUUCAAGAUUCUUUGUCACAUUGAAUCUGGCGGCACAUGCAUAAAGCAUUAAAUAUAGAUAAAAAAAUAACUAAUUACAUAGUUUGUCUGUAAUUUGUGAGACGAAUCUUUUGAGUCUUGUUAGUCCAUGAUUGCACAAUAAUUAUCAAAUAUAAACGAAAGUGCUACAGUAUCCAAAUUAAAAAAAAUAGAUCUAAACAAGACCAAACUUUUACUAGUCGGUCGUGGAUGGUCAAUUGCAUACGAACUUGACACGCAUAUAAUUUACUUGUACGGGAUGAUUACGCUUCUUUUGUGUGGAGUCGUAUCAAAAAGUGCAGAAAAAUCAUAAGGAAGUUUAAUUUGAAUGGUUAGUAUAGUCGACACUUUUACCUUUUCUUUUUUCGAAUCAAUAGUCGUCAAAAAUUGGCCAGCAUCUUAUCUCUUUUACUAAAGUAAAAUAACAUUAUCAAAAACAAUACACUAAAAAGUAUAACAAAAAAUUAUUUUAGGGAAAGCAUUAAAAAAUAAUAAAAAAGCAUAAAAAAGUUUAGCUAAGUAAAAAAAUAGACCUACAGAGUAAAAAUAAACCCUCGGAUAAUUUUGCUUAAAAAGAAGGUCUUGAUUGCGCGUAUGUUCAUGAGAAUGGGUAUAUGUACAUAAGCAUCAACUUCUAUACUGCGUUAAAAAUUAUGACAAAUUUGUUAUAUGGCAUUCUGUUUUUUUUUUCUUCCUCCAUGAUAUCGUAUUUUCAAAAGAUUUCUGCGAUAAUCAUCUGUCUGCACACAUGUCAAUAGUCACAAAACCCAACCACCCAAUUUCGAGUUCUAUUGCCAUCAAUAACAUUGUACAUAUAUUGUUCUCACCAAGGAUUCCAACGCAGGUUUUGUUUGAAUAUAGUCGGAUUCACAUCAUUCUACGUGUGUUAAAGUGGAUUGGAGUAAAACUUAAACUAAAUUUCACUCCAAUCCAUCUAAUACAUGUGGAUUGAUAAAUUCCACAGCAAUCCACCACAAUACAUGUAGAUUAAAGUGAAUACGAUAAUAUUUAAACAAGGUCUCAAACUCAAAAAGGACUCAACAGCUAAAGACAACAUAAACACUUAAUAGUCAAUCUUUUACACUCAGCGAAGAAGUUUUUAUUGGAAAGAAAUUGUUCAAAUAAUUUUUAGAACAACUUAAACUUAUUUAACCAAGUACUGUAUUGUAUAUUUCUCUAAACCGUCGUUUUAACAAUUUUUUAUAAAAAUAAAGUUCACUAAAAGAAUUUAUGAUAUUAGUUCUGUGACUCCUGUCCACGUUUAGAGGGAGACAAUCAGUGUGUACUGCCAAACAGGUAUCUUACGUGUAUGAUGGGCCUGGUCCAUGUGGCCCAACUUGGGGCACGAGCCGAGCGAGACUAAGGGCAAUGUUCCAGCCCAGAGACUAAAUAUUGCUCUAAAAAAAGCCCAGUUAAUGUUGUCGGAAACAAGCAUAAAGCAUCAUCUUCAACGCUUAGACAAGACCGAUACUUUUUUCCACAUGUCGGCCAUGUUUGGAUCCUUCAAGCGCAUCGCGAAAAAGUUUGGUAGGAUGGUCAGGAGGUGUUUGGUUGAUUGAAGCUGUUAAAAUUAGUAGGUACUGUAGUAUUUUUGUUUUUUAGCAAUUAGUAUUUAGUUAUAGACUAAUUAAGUUUUAAAACACUCGUUUUAUAAAUUAUUCUUUAGAUGUGUUUUUAUUUUUGAAAAUAAUUUAUAUUUAGUAUUUUAUGCAUGUGUCCGGACAUUUAAUUUGAUAGAUGCUAAAAAAACAGGAGCAACCAAAUAGGGUGACAUUAUCUAGUUUGUUCCAUCUUUUUUUAGUUUUUUUCAGAAAAAGUAGGAUACAAGCACGUGUGCACGUUUGAUGAGUGUCUGUGCCUAUGACGUAUGUGGGUUAUGUGCAUUCAAAAAUGUAUCUGAUAAAAAAAAGUAGUUAGUUACGUUAGCUAGACAGCCAGCUAAUAGGCUUUUUAUUAUCUUGGGUAGUUUUAAUCUAAGCUAGGUCGGCUAAAUCGGCUAGAGCUUUUUAUACUACUCUAACCGACUCAAAUGCAUUGUUGAAUGUUGUUCAACUUUUUUUAUUAUUUUUUUAUGGGGCACCGCUAGAAAUGAUGACGCGGUACGAAAUUAAUUAUAUUUGAGAUUGAUGUUAGAAGACAUUCACUUGUGCUUGUAAUAAUAUGGGUCCUCAAAAUUUAUUAACGGUCUAUAAACUUGUGUAAUGAUGUCAUCUACAUCCCCAACACUCCGAAUUUCAUUUAUGGGUUCCUCAGCUCGUAUAACAAUGUCAUCUAAAUCCCCAACUCUCAAAUUUUGAUAUUUGAGUCCUACAACUUAUAUGGCGAUAUCAUCUAGGUCCUUGAACUCACACCUCAACACAUAUGGUGCUAUUGCGGCAUGCCAAUUAUAUAUAUGUAUUGGUGUGCAAAUUCAGGGACCUAGAUGAUACUGCUAUAUAUGCUAGUUCUAGGACUCAAAAAAUAAAAUUAAAAAGCUAGCGAUCCAAACAACAUCAUCAUAAAAAGUUCCAAGAUCUGAGAAUUAGGGACCUAAAUAGUACCGUCGCACAAGUUUAAGAACUGCCAAUAAAUUUUACUGAAUAGGUUUUCAUUUCACAUGUGUCUUUUAUAUAGCAAUUAGUAACAAAUUUAAAAGGAAUAGCAAUGGUCAAGGUGCAAUUUCAAAGCUUUCCAUAAAUCCACCUAAACUACUAGUAUAGUAUAUGUCUUAGAAAACAAACAGAGGGAUGGAGCCAAAACAAAAAGUGAGAAUGAGUAUGCAUGUGAAGUGAGGAGUGAAGGCUUGCAUUGGUAGCCGGUAGGGUAUCGCGCGUGCACGUAAACUGACGAGCCUGCAUGCAUGCAUGCAUGCAUGUAGUGUAGGCUUUAACCAAAUCUGGCUCAGGGUCUGCUAAAGCCUGCGGCGUGCCGCUGCAUAUAUGCAGGCCAAUGCCCGGACAUGUACGUACAAGCGUGCAGGACACCUCCAGGCUCUCCAGCUCCAUGCAUGCAACAAUAAUGUACAGUGUAGUACUACAGUAUGCCCACAUGGUUCUUUAGUUAAACUACACGCACGUAUGGCCACUACGCCUGGCACGAAUGUACACUGCACUCUUGCAAGGUCAAUAAUAGAGCUAAGUGUUUGACUAUAAGCCAAGUAAUUAGAACCAGGUUAUACAAUAAGUUGUCCUAGCUCCAUGCAUGCAACAAUGUACAGUGUACUACAGUAUGCCCACAUGGUUCUUUAGUUAAACUACACGCACGUAUGGCCACUACGCCUGGCACGUAUGUACACUGCAUGCACUCUUACUGUUACUCGCUCCAAAAUACUCAUGGCCACUAAAAUAUUUGCAACUUGUUCCUCGAAAUGAUAUGCUAGUCAUUGUUAGUAGACUAGUAGUACAACUUGUUAUCGUACAAGACAGCAAAUAAAUUGGUUGAUGGAGAAAUUUGCUAUCGUUGUUAGCUUCAACUCUUAGAGUUGUCCUAAAUCUAACUUUUAAAACUGACUUAAUUUCUAAAAAAAAGCUAAAAUUUAUAGUGCCAAAUUAAUAACAUUAAAUUUAUUAUAGAAUAUAUUUUUAUAAAAUAUUCAGUUUAUGUCAUAAAUAUUGAUAUUUUUUUUCUAUAAAAUUGGUCAAACUCAAAAAAAAUUGACUGUCACGGAUUUUAGAAGUUAAAGCUUUUAGGGAGGAGUAGUUGUUAACAGCUUAAUAGAGGCUAGCUGUAGUUUAUACUAGUGGUUGCCUGCCUGCUCGAUCUCCCUCCUAGCUAACUUUAGAGAUUGGUCGAGAACUUGGUCCGAUCAGGGGGGCCAAAAGAAGGGGACAUGCAAAGCACUAAAGCUUGGUCACAUAAACCCAACAAAAAACAACUUUUACCAACAAAAUAUUUGCCCCUGCCCCGUUGCUCCCAAAAGAUGGAAGGAUGCAUCACAUCAUAUAUAUAUAUAGGUCUGGCCUCCAGUCGACCAGCAUACUAGUACUAGCUAGGAGUAGUAUACUAGCUCGAUCGAUCGGCCAUGCACGCGACGCGAGAGAGUCCACCUGACGCGCGCGGCCACAUUACAUGAGCUAGCUUUUAGCAUGUUCUAGACAUUUGGGGCACGGCGAAAGGCAAAUGAUGGUGCCGGCCGGCCACAAGAUCGCGCGCGACACCAAACUAAAAGGACACAAUCACGAGCUGCUAGGAAGGAGGAAGCAUCUGAUAUUGUGUCCGAUCGUCGUCGUCGUCGUCUGUCUCCGGACACGCUACACCUGUUGUUGGUUUAGAUAGGGGAGGGGAGGGGACACUACUUAUGCCCCCAUGCAUAUCGUGUUUGGUCUCUCCUUGGGCUCCAUGCAUCUCUGCGAUGCAUGCUUACUUGCAUGCAUGUACGUAAGUGUGUGUGUGCUUUUUGCAUGCAUGCAUGGGGUGCGUGAGCACUUUGAUCACCGCAUGCUAGCUAACCAACUUUAAUCAAACUUCAAUGUGCUUUUGUACAAGGGAACGCCCCAAUUAUAACUAGUAUAUAUACUAUAAUAUAUGGAUUAUUGCAUUGCAUUUCCAUUGACCAUGUAGCUGUGUAGAGGUAUUUCAAUAUAGAUAAUUAACGUCAGUGAUAAACUUACCAACGCCCAUAACUUCGCUAUUUCAAGAAUCCAACAGUAUAAUUUACCAAAGGUGUUUUUUUUAGACUAUAGUUUACCAAAGGUUGGAGGAUCAUUUACGACAUGCAUGGACACAUUGCAUGUUUACUAAUUGGAUAACCAUUUUGAAGCCUCCACGCUAAUUUAGAUUAUUUUUAACUCAAAGUUGCUAGUUUAUAUUAUUUAUAUUUUUUUUAUUGAAUAUUACGGCAUAUAUACGCACAUCCAUUGUUUAAAUGUAAGUAUUGUUUUUAAGAUGUCGUCUAGGCAUUAAAGCGCAGCUCAUGAACCAUGAGGGUUUAGUAAAAAAAUGCUUGUAAGUGUUACACUCUCUUUUUUAUAUAAAAUAUAUAUUUCUUGGAGUUCUUUAACAGAGGAAUUUGGCAUCUUUUGAGAGAUGUAGUGCGAGCUGAAAUGUUAUUUGUCAUUGUAGUAACAAAUCAAGAGUGUGGCUUGGGACCUUAAUACAACAUAAAGAUAGGGUAUUGAAUGAUAGGCACAACAUGCACUGGAUUUUGAACUUCCCGUGUAUAGGAAAACUCUUUUCCUAAUUACAAAUCAAGUUUAUUAAAGAGUCCCUAUGUCGUCUAUGAGCACUAGACUUCUACAAGGAGAUAGGCAUUUUGGUGGGAUAUAUAGUAUACUCAACAGUUCUUCACUUCCUAGUCCAUCCGUUCCAAAACAAUAAUGUGUUUUGAUUUUGUCCCAAGUCAAACAUUUUCAAGUAAGUUUGACUGAGGUUAUUGAAAAACUAUCUCAACUACUCAACUUCCAUCACAAUAAAAUAGUUUAAUUACAUCCAUAUGCUACUCUCUUGUACAAAUUCAGUAAAACUUGACACCUUAAUUACAUGCAUGCAUGGUUGAAGUACUACUGGAGUAGUAUAUACAGUCAUUAAUUAAUGAUGCACAAUCCAUGCUUCCACAGUUCCACUUGCAUUGUGCAUGCUACUACCUUUGCAUUGCUCCCUCUCUCUGUCUCUCAUCGCACAUCACAUGAACCGAACGGGUACCUUUUGCCAAGCGAGGCCCUCGAUCAGGCCCUAAUAUAAAUGCCCUAUUAUAUCCGUAAGCACGACGACAUGACAUCGUGGUUGCAUGCAUGCACGCACGUAAGUACGUGGACCAAGACAUGCAUGCCCAUGUGCUUGCAUGCAUGUGGCGAUUAAGCAAUGCAACAAAGCAAACUAAAGCGACUUUCCAGCACCGACCGACCGGCCGGCCGGCGACCGCUACUUAAGUGAUUAUGUCUAUAUAUGUGGACACACACAUAUGUAAGCAGUGGACUGUGGCACGUACGGCCGGACGUGAACGUGACGAACCUUUUUGCAAACUUGCAGUUGCUGCAUGCGUACGUGCGUGCGUGCCAUGCAAUGCCGCCCGACGUGUGCAGGAUCCAUCUGCAUGAACGAUGCACACACACACCGGCAGAGCGAGAGCCCAGUGCAAGUGGACGGCUGUGGAGUGGACAUGCUUGCAUGCAUGGAUUAACUGGUACGGGUCAAUUGCCCGCGUGCACAUGCAUGCCGUUGAAGCAGCCUUUGCGAUGCACGAACUAACGCUACUAGAAAGUCGAGAACUCAUGGUGCUAGUUGCUGAGGCCCAGAUCAUGUCGGAGGCCUCCUGCCGUACUGCCGUAGUACGUGCUUAUGCAUCAUAUAUAUAUAUAUAUAUAUAUAUAUAUAUAUAUAUAUAUAUAUCCAGCGUUGGUGACCACUAUUGCUUCAGGACUUUUGUCCCUCGCUCCAACAAUGACGACACUCCCUCCGGUCACAAAUAUGUGUUUUGUUUAUUUCUUUUUGAAGUGAACCAUGCAAUUAAAACUUGUACUCUAGCUACACUAUUGCGUUCCUGGAUAUAUGACGUCGAUCCAGUUGCAAAUUUUUUUAUAUAUAAGAGCAAGCAGCAAAGUAUUUGGCUAUAAGUUAAGUACUAAUUAAGAGCCAAACUAUACAAAUGUCUCUCAUUAUAUUUAUAUCUAUAAAAAAAACUUUUAAAUUACUAUUAAUUAUUCAUGCCCCAUCAUUUUGUCCUCCUUACAUUCACUUAAUAUUUGAACUCACGAAUACCUAUGUUUUCGUAUCUAGCUUGUUACUCGCAUGACAAUAAAUCUACCCUCUAUCUUCUUUUCUUUCCUUCACAUCAGUAUUUGCUUGCCUAUAGCCCAUUAUCAUACCUGCUCUAAUGAGUGUAGCUAUGAAUCCAUCUCUAGCAUUAGAUUUGUAUUAUAUUUACCUAUAUGAAAGAGACAAAUGACAAAAUAAAAAAGAGAAAUUUUAUCUUCAAAUAUGUGGACAAAUAUAAACAUGGAAAUAGUGUGAAUUUGAGGUAGUAAGUGCUACUCAUUUGAUACGAAAUAGUAAUCCUAAGUAUACUAUUCAAUCAUACAAGUUUUGUAAUCUUACAAAACCGGCCAUGCAUGUAUUGAUACAAAAAUAAUUGGCCAAAGACUUACUCCACCUAAUAAGAUGGAAAAUAAAAUACGCGUACUAAUUUGAACAGGAUUGUGCAGUACCCAUUUCCGGUUUUAACUGGAGUAUCGAAGAAACCUGGAGUACUGUAUAUACUACACUGUCAAAUCUGCCCGGGAUAUUAGCCUUUUGGUAGCACGCGCAGACGACGUCAGUGCAAUGAAUAGCAGUGUGCCUCAUGCAUGGAACAUGUAGCCAGCAGUAGGGUCUACUGGAGUACGGAGUACAGCGCAUGUUUUUUUCGAGAUCGGGACUUCACCCGUUUUUUAUUAAGAGGAAACAACAGGAGUACAAAGGCCUACUGGUGAGGGUCGCAAGCCGCGGCCGCCACGCAGGCAGGCACAGAACACAACCUAACUACUGGUGUUCAAAAGAGGAGAUUACAUGGGAACAAAGUUUUGCGACCAUAAUUGAACCAAAGUUUGCACUGGCCCAUGCCCACCGAGCACCCAGUCCCUCCCCUCGAUGAUCGAAGCCUGCACAACUUCCUGAACAGUUGAAGGCAACCUGUUGAAGACCCUGCUGUUUCUCUCCUUCCAGAUCACCCAGGAGAUCAGCAGGGUGAGGGAGUCGAAGAUUGGUCUGGACGAGGUGUCUAGCUGCUGUCGUUUCUGAAGCCACCAGGUGUCCAAAACCGAGUGUGCACCAGGCUGCAAGGACUGAAGCUGCAACGGUCGCAGGACAGCAAACCAAACUUGUCUACUGAAAACACAGCCAAGCAACAAAUGACUAAUAGAUUCUGGUGCCUGAUCGCAGAGAGCACAGGUAUCGCUGAGCUGAAGGCCGUGACUCGCUCUUCUUUCAGCUGUCCAGAGACGACGGUGCAAGGCAUACCAGAAGAACAAUUUCACCUUUGGCGGCGCCCUAACUUUCCACAGCUCUCUUGCUCCUGGAAGCUUGGUUGCCCCAUUGAAGAAAGCCCUGUAGGUUGAGGAGGCGCGAUAGAUCCCAUCCGGGGACCAUUUCCACAGAAACCUGUCUGAUUGUCCCGGCUGCAGAGAUACCGAGCUCAACAAAGACCAUACCCUUAGAUAAUCCCGGAGGACCUGCACUGUGAUGGCUCGACAAAUGUCACUGACCCAUCGUCGAUCUUGCAAAGCGUCGCGCAAGACCCGCUUGCGACCAGUUCUGGACGUCGCCUUGAAUAACGCCGGAGCAAAAAGACUUAAGGGUCCAACUGAACUCCAGUUAUCGGUCCAGAAUAGGGCGUUGGCGCCAUCUCCAACAACAACAGAAGGCUUGCAUCACACAUGGCAUCAACCAUUCUCUCCCUGGGCGAAGGCAGACUAGCCCAGCAGCUGUUCUGAUUGGUGCGAGCUAACCAUUUCCAUCUCAACCUAAGCGCAAAGCCGAAGAGACGCAGAUCGAUCACACCUAGACCACCUAGCUCGAGUGGCCUGCAUACCACUGGCCAUGCGACUUUGCAUUUGCCUCUAGAGCAAAUCUCUGUCCCUGCCCAGAUGAAUGCUCUUCUCCUCUUAUCGAUCUGCUUAAUUGCCCACUCCGACAGACAGCAAGCGAUACUAAGAUGCACCGGUAUUGCCGAUAACACCACCUUUGUAAGAAGCAACCUGCCCGCGUUGGUGAGCAGUCCAGACUUCCAGGUCGGGAUUCUUGCAGCGACCGAAUCUACCAGAGGCUGCUCAUCUGCGUGCCUGAGGCGCUUUGGGGAUAGAGGUAUGCCGAGAUACUUGCAUGGGAAUGUCGUGACCUGGCAGUGGAACGCCUGCUGCACCUCUGUGAUCAUGUCCUCAUCACAACAAAUAGGUGUGGCCACACAUUUGUCCACGUUUGUUAUUAAGCCAGAUGCCCCGGCGAAGAGUUGCAGAAUCUGAUGCAAGCAAUGAAGAUCUUCAGACUUAGGGGCUGUGAGCACGACGAGAUCGUCUGCAUACAGGGAGGCGCGAUACGGGAUUGCAGUUCCUGGCAGUGGAGACAGAACAGAACGACGGUCAGCCUCCCUAAUCAACGAAUUGAGGACCUCCAUUACGAUCACAAACAACAUUGGCGAGAUUGGGUCGCCCUAACGAAGGCCACGUGCGUGCGCGAUGCGUCUGCCUGGCCUCCCAUUAACAAUAAGCCUGGUGCUUGCAGUAGACAAAAGAGUUGAGAUCCAGUUGGUCCAGCGACGAGGGAAGCCAAUAUGCUGCAGCACUUCGAGCAGAAAGGGCCAGGCGACAGAGUCAAAGGCUUUGGCAAUAUCGAUCUUCAGAAGAACUGCAGGGAAUUUCCUAGAGUGUAACCAGCGGCAUGCCAACUGAACUGUCCUGAAGUUGUCAUGAAUCACUCUUCCUUUGAUGAAUGCACUCUGGUUGUGAGCCACGAUUUCCUGAAGCUUUGGCUGCAACCUUCUAGCUAGGCACUUUGCGAACAAUUUACUGAAGCUGUGCAUAAGGGAGAUGGGGCGGUAAUCUUUGAGGCAAUUGGGCACCUGUUUCUUCCUGAGCAGUACCAUAAAAGCAUCGUUUAGCAGGUGAAAGCUCCUGGAAUCCAGCGACCACAAAGCAUUCAGGGCAUUGAUGAUGUCAGUCUUGAUGAUAGGCCAAGCAACCUUGUAGAAUAACCCGUUGAACCCGUCCGGCCCUGGCGCCCUAUCGGAAGGCAACUCUUUGACAGUUUCCCAUAUUUCCUGUUCGGUGAAACACCUGUCAAUGCCCGAGAGAUCAAGCUGCGGUAACAAGCCUGACAGCUGGAUCGAGUGCGACCGCAGAAAUGGCUUGCCCAGGAUGUCAUUGUAGUACUCGUAGAUGAUGUUGGACUUCUCCCCAUUAUCUGAGAGCCAGAUGCCAUCAUGAAGGAUCGCCGGAAUCUGGUUUUUCCUGCCCCUGUGACAAGCCUGCAGGUGAAAGUACUUGGUGUUGGCAUCACCUUCCUCCAAAUGUCUGAUCCUGGACCGCUGCCUCGCAAUGGUUCUUGCCAGCGACGCUAAACCGAGGGUGGCCAGUUUUAGCUGCCUGCGCAAUGACAACUCAAUCUCGUUGAGGGCCCUGUGGUCUUGAGCAGCAUCGAGUUGAGCAAUAAUUUCCCGUGCCAUGAAUAGCUGAGACCGCACACUGCCCAUGUUCUGCAUGCUCCAGCUCUGAAGGGCUCUAGCCGUUCUUCUUAGCUUCUGGUCGAGCAGUCUGCACGGAUCAGCCUGUGGCAGAUGACAAUCCCAGGCUUGCUUGACAGUGUCUUCAAAACCGUCGAGGCGUAACCAGAAUGCCUCAAAGCGGAAUCUUGGCUUGGCCCAAACAUCUGUGCAAAGUUCCAGGAGCAGCGGCGCAUGAUCGGAACAAUCAGACGACAGGCAGCGCAGGUGGUGACGCGGGAACGCUUCAAUCCAGUCUUGCGAGGCGAAAGCAUGGUCGAUGCGCUCAAGCGUAGGUCUCCGUCUCUCAUUGCUCCAAGUGAACAGUCUACCAUGCAAGUACAGCUCCUCUAGCCGGCAGUCGUCGAUGAGGCGCCGAAAGCGACGCAUGGAGCGGUAGUCCAACCGAUCGUUGUUUUUGUCCGCCGCCUGGUAGAUUUGGUUGAAGUCACCGCAUAUGAGAAAGGGUCCGGGGGCAGAGGACUUCACCGCUCUGAUCUCGUUCAGGAACUCCUCCUUGAAUUCAUCCCGAACAGGGCCGUAAACGGCACAAAGCGACCAUGGGCACGACGUGGACUCAAUUGGAGCCAAAGCAACCGUGACGGAAAAAGUCCGACAAACACGAUCCGACACCGCCCAAGUGUCCCUGCGCCAGGCUACACACACGCCCCCGGACCUACCCAAAGCAGGCAAACACACAUAAUCAAACUCGUUUCCCAUUAAAUCAGUGGCAAAAGUCUGGGACAUUACAGCAAGCUUAGUUUCGACUAGGCACAGCGCGGAGACGCGUUCUUGCAACAAGAACGCACGUACGACAGCUCGACGCGCGCGCAUGUUCAGCCCACGAACGUUCCAAAUGAAGAUGUGGUUUACUGACAUGGAGAACAGAUAUUGCGACCGACGAGCGGAGGUGCUUACACCUACGCCUCAGUUGCGCAGCGGAGCACCCGCUGCUGCUUACCCUUGAAGAGGCAUUGCAUCGCUUCCCCUGCCUGACCGCAGAGCGCUGCCUGGAACGCGACAUCAUGGAACUCAUCGAAGGAGGCUUCGUGCGGCCGUAGCGUGUCGACCUCGUAUCCCAGUUUCUUCAUCAGCAGCUUCCGGGCCUGCGCAUCCGGCCGAGCAUCUCUGGACCUGCUCUUGGCCGCCAGACGCGCGCUUCUUUUCGGCAUCCAGUCUUCGUCUUCUUGGCGCGAUGGCUUGGUUCGGCGCAACGACGGGGUAGGCAACAACGGGUCCUCAAGCGGCUUUGUAAACGCAGCCACGAACUCCUCUGCCGACAGGUUUACUGCGACAGGGGCGUCCAUCCUAGCGCCAUCGAUGAUGUCGUGCUCAAGAGAUGAGGCAGCCAACAGGCCCCCGGGGCUCUGCUGGUCCAUAAGCUCAUCCAUGGCCCAGGAGACGUCAGCCGGCUCGGGGGCUGGACGUGAUGGGUUGAAGAGAAAGCACGGCCCAUCGUCCACUGCGUCCUUGUGGAGGCCGAAGCGGCCCACUGCUGAAGAGAACUCGCCGUCCAGCACCUUGACCAACCCAUCGAACGGGCGAGCACACGUACCACCGUAGGCCCUUGGGUCGCGGUCUAGGGUGGGAGGCCUGGGUGCAUGUACCUCUGGGGCAGCUUUCGGCGUGAGGCAGAGCGUAGCCUCAGCACGCAUGGGGUCUUCCUCCAACGACUUGAUAGGAGAGAGUGGGCAGGCAUCACGCAGGCCGAGGUCAACCUCGACGGCAAUUGGCGUGACGACACGUAUUGGCGUUGGUUGCAGCGCCGGCGCCCGGUUGACACCACAGGCGGUUCCAAGGCCAAUCGAAGUGAUGGGGCAGCAAACCUGGCCCACAGUGACGACUUGGGAGGGCCCACGUUGCUGGAAAGGUUGGGUGAAACUCCGCUGCAGCCUAGGGUCUUGGGUUCCGCCGAACCUCGACGUCCGUGGACGUGGGCCCGCGCCACCGCUGGCCCGGUACCCAGGCCAGAAGCCGUUGAAGUUGCUGUCAUCGCUAUCUUCGCCGGAGUCGUCCCGGCGGCGGUAGUCCUCAUCGUCGGACGGCGGCGGCGAAUGCCAAUCAUGGUACUCCACCACGCGGAGACGUACCAGAUAUCUCAGCGCAGGUACCUCCGCGUGAAUGAGCUCCUCAGGCCGCAAGAACAGAGGCGGCCCGCCAUCAUGCUCCUCCGCCCUUUCUGGGAUCGCGAGAAUCUUCUCGUCGGGGAUGAGGUCGGGGUGCACGCACCAAGCCGCAGCGAAGAUCUCCCGAUCGUCGUCGGGAUCAGCGACAUGGACCUCCCCUGCAAGCUGCACCUCGGCGCACGCGGAGGCCAGGAUCAGCUGAGCGACCUCCAACGAUCUGGCGUGACAGGGGAUCCCCUUCAUGCCCACAAGGACACGAAACCUGAACGCCCCCGCCGAAGCCAUGAACAGGCGCGACCACGGCCGCCACCGCAGCGAGAACGCACCGACUACCGGUGGCGGUGUCCCCAGCACGACGUCCAGGUCCUCCCGGCGAUAGAAGCGGACAAUGAAGUCAUCAGGCCAGAAACGACGGACGGAUACCUGGUCAGCGCCAAGCCCGUAGAACUCGAGAAGGUGGGCACGCACCAUCGCCGGCGAAACCGGCGGUCGCCUUCCGACCACCAUCGCGACGAGCGCCAGGGAGGAGAGCUCGUCCUCCGCAGCUUGAAGCGGCGCCGUGCGAGGGACGACCACCAGCUCAGUCAAGGGCUCGGAAGCCCGCGAACUAGGCGACGCCGGACGCCGCUGCAGACGCAGCGGCGGAGGGACGAAGACGGGGCGCUCCUCAGCUACGCCAGCAGAAGAGGCUGAGGCGUCGGCGACCCCAUUCCCGGCCGGAGAGGAGGGGGCAGCGCCGGCAGCCACACCCCUUGAGGGAGCAGCAUCUGACGCCGCGGCACCUGCCCCGUGCACCAGCACGGCACCUGCGCGCGCCGACGGCGAGGCGUUCGCGGCCCUGACGACGCGAGAGGGUGCAGCGACGUUUGCCGGACCCCGGCCUGGCGAGUCACGACGACGGCGAGUUGCAUGGGACCCACCUCGAGUGCGCGUCGGGGAACGGCCCCGCUUGGCGGCUCCGCGGGAGCGAGGGCAGUCCCGCGCAUGGUGGCCCUCCUGGAGGCAGGAAAAGCAGCGGGAGGGGAAUGUGCAUUUGGCGUGCACAUGGUCGGUCCCCAGACAGUUGAAGCAGAGACCGACGAGGUUGUCCGGCACCGGACGGCUUUUCGGAGCAGGAUCCCUACGCCGCCAACGCCUCCUGCUCUCGACCAAGCGAAAGCCGUCGACGUCGGGGACGGAGGCCAGGCGCGCCGGGUGGACAACGACAGAUCUCAGACGCCCCUCCUCGGCGCCGGGGUGGCGAGUAUCCUGCCGACGAGGACCCUGCCGGCGCGCUGCCGCCAUGAAGCCAGACGGCUGCGCCCAGCGGCGUCGACUGCGGCGCCGGCGACUCGGCCCAGCAGGAGCCUUGCCACGGCCAGGAGGCGGCGAGGAGUCAGAAACCUCGAGCGACUCCUCAGAAUCGGAGAACUGAAUCCUCCCCCCAGGGGAGGCUGAGAACGGGUCAGCAUUGGGAUUGAGCGAGCUUGAACGGAGAACCUGAGCUGCAUGGGCCGCCGCGGCCAGCGGAGGCAACCUAGGGCUGGCAUCCUCGGAGUCCGCCUCUUCGCUGUAGCCCGACCGGGGGAGGCGGGACGAGGAGCCACGUUCCAUCAACCGCUGCGGGGGGUAGAACGGCGGCGGAGGGUGCGGGCCGGCGGGGAGGUGGCCAGCGGGGCCGGAGUGGCCGCCGGUGGAGCUUAGACUAGCACUUGCUCUCGUUGUACAUUCUCAUGAUCACCUGAGUACAGCGCAUGUUGCUUCUUGCUGUUGACUUGCUUUCUUGCUGUUGACUUGCUGUGUGGAGAUGGAGAAUGCAUGGAGACGGAUCGGAGGAGGAGGUAGCUAGCUAGCCACCAGGUGUAGGUAGCUACGUAUACUAUACCGCUGAUGUUGACAGAUGGACUGUACAACUACGGAUGCAUGCGUGCGUGCAUCCACAUGCACAGUAGUACAGUACUGUAUAUGCAUGCACGCCCGACGACGACGAGUCGACGACGACGACUCGAUCGGCAGCACACGCAUGCAGCAGGCGGCAGGUCAAAGCGCAACGCCGCAGCCGGCCGCGGUGAACCAGCCAAGGGGAAGCGACCAAGCGUCUUGUGUUGGAGGGAGCCAAAAGGAAACGAAAGCGGAAAGCGCAGGGGCCGUGCCUACACCACCUGUACUAGUGUACGUAGUACGUAUAUGUAGCUGCAGCCUGCAUGCACGCUCUGGUUGACACUACCCUACCUGGCUACCUCCACAGGUUCGGUUCUCGAUCGAAACGGCUGUGUGCUCUUGCUAUGCGUCCGUCCGCGUGCUUGCGCCAGCAGCUAUAUAGCGCUGAGCAGCAGGCCAGGGCGAUAGCUAGCUAACUAACUAUAGCCCAUGGCUAUGGUAACAAGCGUCACUUUAUUUUGUUUACUUCCCGGUAAAGAAAAAUUUUUAAUGUCACAUAGAAUAUGCCGAUAUAUAUAUUUGAAUUAUUAAACAUAGAUUAAUAAAAAAUAAAUUACGUAGCUAUAUAUCAUUGUCCUUUGAUGAGAGAUGUCGCUCUCAUAUAGAGGAUAUAGGGAGGAGCGAGGUAGAGGAAGGUGUACGUGGAAGUCGAAUAUAUAUGCUAAGAGAGGAGCUAGCUUUAUCAUCAGUAAUUAAUUAAGCUGCUCGAGUCUGGAGAUGGUGGAGACGCACGCUAGCUCUCACCAUACGACGACGGAUGGCAAUGGCAUGCAUGUGUGUACGGUACUCGCGCGCGGCGAGGGCGCCGGAAAAGGCGCUUUUUAGUUCCUUGCAUGCAACAAGCGCACAAGCGGAUGGCGUCAAAUUAAAGGGGCACUGCACCUGCACGUAGUAGCAACAGCAGUGGCAGCUAGCUAGGGGGCGGGCAUGCAUCCAUCGGCAUCAUCGGCGCCGGCGACGGCGACGGAGGCGAGCGAGAUGUCGUGCAUUCGUCCGACCAGGAGAAGGGAGCUCUCAUCUGGGCCGUGUCUGUUUCUGUCUCGUGUUGGGUCGGGUCGGGUCGGGUCGGGUCGAUCAGAGCAGGUGCCCGCGCGUGGUUCGCGUCGUCGACCUCGAUCACAAGUCUCUUGAGCACGUACUGGCCCCGGACUAGCAGAGGGGUGUAGAGUAGAGCACAAUAAUCGACGUCGGUCGGGACAUGCAUGCAUGGAUGUCCUUUCCGACCGGACCAUACGCAGCAACACCGUACUAACAAAAUGUUGCAAAAUUAUUUAAAUUUCUCGUCACAUCAAAUUAAAAAAAAAAAAGGUGCGGUAGUCAGCCGGUGCAUGCCAUGCCAUGCCAUUCCUACCCGAGGAACCUAAGUAAUGAACUAAUGAUUAUACACAUCUAGUCAGCCGGUGCAUGCCAUGUCCGUUGCGUGACGGGUGGACGCAACGGUUCGGCACGUUACGUGACGUGGGCGCGUGUGGUGGUGGCUGCGGCCGGGAAUCACGUUGAACGCAGGACGUACUACUAGUAUAUGAGAAUCACGGAAGAAUACACCGUCACGGUCACUCACACACACCGAAACUGGUGAUGGAUGGAUGGAUGGAUCCCCGCCCGGCUGGAACUGAUGGUAGCGGCUGAGCUGGGCUGCUGGGGCCCGGGUGGGUCAAACGUGGCGGCUGACGAAUGCGCGGGACGUGGCGCUGUCGGCUCCCUGUCGGGCCGCCGAGCCGAAUCACUGACGUCUCCUCCCCUCCCCGAUACGGCCGCCGUUUGAUCUGCAUGCCAUGCCGAUGCGGCAGUGGCGACGGAACCGUAGUGUACGUACCCCUCCCCUACACGUACGUAGUACGUAUUACUCCUAGUACACGAUCGACACGCCCGGAGAAGCAAUUAAAUUGUACUGUACGUGCUUAUCAGCCGUAUUUUUUUCUCACGAGGCAACGAUAUUUUUUUCUCUAACAAUAAUAAUACUUGCUCGUAUACUAUCAGGUAGUACUAGUACAGUAGUCGUACUGCAUGCAUAUGGCAACAAACGCCAACGCCAGCGGCACUGUCCGUCUGAUCCGGCCGGCGCCUCUCUCACCGAGACCGUACCCCCACGCGAGAAAGCCACUGCUGCUGUCUGCCCAGCCAGUUGCCCUUUGCAACAGUCACUUUAACUGAACGAGCUCCCUCCCGUCCUUUGCUUUGCCAUCCAUGCCCCUUGCGUGGUGCAUGUUGCUGCUGCAUGCAGCCGUCCGUCCGUCGUAGGAGUAGGAGUAGUGGUGGUGGAGUGGAGUGGAGUGCGUACUGCCCUGGGCCUGGGUUGUGUGUACCCUGUGCUCAGAGUCAGAGAGCUGCCGGCCCUUGUUCGUUGCGGAUGCUAUUGCUAUUGCUAUUGCUAUUGCUAUUGCUAGGUCACCCCGGCCGCGGGACACAGCCUCUGCAAAAAGCCAUCCAUGUCGCGCCCUAGCUUUGACUCGCUCGAUCGGUUCCGUUCCGAUCCCCCAACCAGCCAGGCCCACCCCUCCCAUUCCAUUCCAUUCCGGUCCCUAGUCCUGUAGCACACUAGCAGUAGGAGGAGGAGAGAGAUCACACAGGCACUAGUAGAGUACGUACUACUCACGCAGGCAGCAAGCAAAGCAAGAUCUCUCUCUCGCUCGUCUCCACACACCACAUGCAUAAUACAAGACCCCCCAUCGAUCAUACCAAAACCCAUGCCGGCCGGCCUAUAAAACCGCACACCCUCACCCCGUCUUCCUCCAUUGCAUUGCCCUACCCCCCUUGCCUUUCCCUUUGCAUCCGCCGGAACAUUCCACCGGUGCAAUCCACACCGCCUGACAAGUGUGAGUAGAUAUAUAGACCGCAACAACAUCAACACUCCCUCCAAGAAGAAGAAGAAGAAGAAGAAGAAGAUGCUGCGGAUGGAGCUGCAGCAGGCGGAGUCGGGCGUGAGCGCCGGCGCUGGCGGCGUGGCGGACGCGGUGGCCGACGCGGACGCCAUGAUGAUGGUGGUGUCCGCAGCGCCGCCGCACUCCCACCACGCGGCUCAUCCUCCGCCGUCGGCGCCGCUGGCGGUGUACGAGCGGGUGGCGCGGAUGGCCAGCGCCAACGCGGUGGUGGUGUUCAGCGCCAGCGGCUGCUGCAUGUGCCACGUCGUCAAGCGCCUCCUCCUGGGCCUCGGCGUCGGACCCACCGUCUACGAGCUCGACCAGAUGAUGGCUGCUGCUGGUCCCGGCGGCGGCGGAAGGGAGAUCCAGGCGGCGCUCGCGCAGCUGCUCCCCCCCGGGCAGCCGCCCGUGCCCGUGGUGUUCGUGGGCGGAAGGCUCCUGGGCGGCGUCGAGAAGGUCAUGGCGUGCCACAUCAACGGCACCCUCGUCCCGCUCCUCAAGCAGGCCGGCGCGCUCUGGCUCUGAUCGAUCGUCGUCGUCGGCCACCACCGUCACCGCCGCCCAUCUGCGCGUUGUGCAUCUCCAUUGCCACGCAUGCAAGACCGACCGACCGACCGGCCGGCCUCAUCUCCAUUGCUACUACUUGCAUUGAUCCAUGGGUUUUUACUAGUGGUUUAAUUUGGGGGGAGCUGUGUAGAUACAAUUAAAAUUAACCAGCUGUACGUCUGCCAUCUUCAGUGUCUGGCAGUUAGUAGUAGUACUACGUUCCUUAAUAAUCUUCUUCUUCUUCUUCUUCAUGCGUGCUACUCCGUACUAGUCGAGUGCAUGCAUGCUAGCUACUAGCUACUGCCUUGAUUACCCUUUUUACCAUGGCGUUUUAAUUUUAAUUAAUCUCUCUGAUACUGGCACUACUUGUUCCAUGAGAUAUGUAUGUACUAUAUAUAUAAUGCAAUCGCUGCGGUUACUAGCUAGCAGUACAAACAUCAAAGACGAUCGACGAUAUGAUGAUGUAACUGCGAGUCUGCAAUGGAGCACGACGACGACGACGAUGAUGCUCCAUGGCAUCGAUCUUUGCUUUUGAUGUCGACAGCUUUGCCGUCGCUACUGUGUGCUGUGUGUGUUGUAAUGGAAUCGGACGACGGACGGUGGCAUUUGCAGGCAGAUGAGGAGGAGCGGUUGCCGCCUGACGGCUGUGGUCAGAGACUAGCAGUCCGGGGCCCCAGCAACCUUGAAUCGAUAUCGAGUUUUGUUGAUGAAACGCACCUAGUUUCCGUUGUAAACUUUUUUCAUCAGAGCCGUCCAUGGUCGCAAAAAAAAAAAAAAGCCGUCCAUGAUCGCAUUGAGAACAACGUACAUUAAGGUUUUGUUUGGAUGAGUGUGUAUCUACAUUAAAGCACAUGUAUUGGAGUGGAUUAGAGUAAAACUUAGAUAAAAUCCACUUCCAACACAUCCAAACAAGCCUUAAACGGGGACGGAAGCAGCCAAAACGCGGGAUCGUUCGAAUUGCCGCGGUAUAUGUGGCAAACUCAUAGAUGAUGAUGUAGAGCACGCAGAGGUUAAUCAUCACUACUCCAAAGCUAAAAACCCAUGCAUGCAUGGUGGAGGAUUAUUAUUCGUUUCUUGUGAUGGAGUUUCGAUCUUCUGUGGGCUUGCAACAUUACACAACGGUCCAUGCAUGGUGUGUGUCCGGCCGGGUGCACAAGCAAUUCGGUAAAAGGGUACGUAGGCUUUUUUUUAUGUGCUGGGCUGUGGGGUGUUGAUUUGCUGGCAAUUGUCAUAUAGACCAGAUGGCAAUGAGAGCGUGAUGCGCUUUCUCUCGAAACUGGUAUAAUACUACACCCUCUAGCAGUACGUAUCGUACGUGUUUUGGUAUUUGUGAUAGUAAUACAGUAGCUAGCGGUGCUUGUAUAUACGCACACAACAACAACGCAUGCAUGCAUGGUUGGUAUUGUAUAGUACCUGUGUGGAUGGCGCGUCCGGACGGUCAAAGUGACGUAGUAUGUACUAGGCAGUAGGCACAGCAGGCAUGCAGGCGCUGCUAGCUACAUACGUCGCGUGGUAUGUCAUGUAGCUGCAUGCAUGCUUUUAUUUGGAGGGAGAGGCAUGCAUCACGCAUGGCGUGGCGACUGGCAAACAAAUGGCAGUGGCAAUGCGGAGUCGAUCGGUCGCGGGUGGGUUUCCGAUCCGGGAAGGAAUAGGCCCGGCAAGCUGCCUAUUCCAUAUGCAUCCACACAUAUAUAUAUAUAUAUAUAUAUAUAUAUAUAUAUAUAUAUAUAUAUAUAUAUAUAUAUAUAUAUAUAUAUAUAUAUAUAUAUAUAUAUAUAUAUAUAUACGCAGGCAAAGGCAUGCAGUCGUCCAUCUCUGAUCGUCCAUAUGCAUGGCAGGAAGUAAUGGCAAUUGCAUUGCAAAGACGACCGAGCAGCAGCAGCAGCAUAUCCCUGGCACGUACGUACUGCCCCCCAGCCGUACGUUCACACACCACGACGAUCCGUCCUGCAUGCCGGCCUGCCUGCCUGUGCCCAGCUCUGUCCAGUGUACGUCGUCCACCCACCGCACCGCGCGUAACCGCGUCAUGCAUGCGCACCCAACGUCGAUCCGUCCCAAACUAAAGCGAUCGAUCGAUAUAACGACGCGUUACGUUACGUGUGUGCGUGGUGUGUGUCUGCACUGCACAUACAAAAUACAAACGGCCCGGCGUCUGUUUUAUUUCAGUGUUAACGCAGCUGAAUUGGAUCACCACACCGGUAAGGAGCUACUGUACAUCGCUUAGAGCAACUCCAGCUCACCGUCCCUAUUAUAAAUCAACCCACCUUAUACUUAUACUUGGGCUCCCAUUUUCCAUGCCCUACCAAAUUAUAGUUCCAGCCUUUCAGCCCCUCACAUCCAGAACGCCCCUAUCCAAUGCGUCCCACUCACUUUCCUCUCUCCACCCAUAAAUUAAGACAAGAAUUAUAAAUGAUGGAGUUGAUGUAGGAUUUGUCAAUAACAGGCGCGUCUCAUGUGAGAUAAAGACUUGGUCUAUUUUUUCCAUUGGAGUUGGGUCUUAAUUUAAGCCCCUACUCUUUUUUAUCAUAGCAUGUAAAUAAAAGUUUAAAGGCUUAAUUUAGGGACUUGGGCUGGAUCGAGUUGCUCUUAUAUAGAGCCUAGCUAUGCCUCUAGCAAUAUAAUGAGCACGAUAUGCAAGAUAUAUAUGUCACCAAAUGAGCUAGCUAGUCUUAUCGGGAGCGUGCCUAAUAACCACUCUAGAAACGGCGUCAUCGUUGAUCUUGCAGUCAUGCAUCACCGGGACAAAGAACAAGGAGAAUUAAGAGGGCUAGAUGAGAACAAAAAAAAGGGGAGAGACAAAAAAGUAUUCGAUGUGUUUUUUUUUUGAAGAUUAUAAUAUCGGUUGGUCGGUAAUGUGUCCCUUCGUUUAUAAAGAGUAAUGAUGAUCUUAUUAUGUUGAAAAAACCAAUGUGGUACUAUUAUUAUUAUAUGUUGUUUUGUUUUAUCCAUUUUUUUUCCUUAGUUGGCGGAAAACUGGCACAGGCAUCUUAAAAUUGGCAUGAGUCCAAUUUGAUGUGUCAACAUUCAGCACAUCUACUAGACGCCUUCUGCAGUCAUUGCAUUUUGACCCUUCCUGUGUCUUGUACUCUUUGUAUAUACGUAUACAUGUAUGUAUAAUCUGCAUGCGAAUAUAUCUCGCAGUACUUUUCUUGUGUGGCUUCAUCAACAACGUACUUGCUCAUGCAUAACCGAUGCAUGCAAACAAACAGAAUCAGAGACCCUGGUGGGUGGGCUGGGUGCUGUGCUCAUGCAUAUGUCCUCGACCGUUGCCGGGCAAAGAUGCCAUUUUUGCUUCAAUCAAGGCCUUGUUUAAUUUUGUAAAGGGAAAAAUUUCAUGACACUAUACGCACUUUCGUUUGUUUGUCAUAAUUAUUGUCUAACUAUAGACUAAAUAGACUCAAAAGAUUCGUCUCGUUAUUUCCGACCAAAUUGUGUAAUUAGUUUUUUAUUUUCGUCUACAUUUAAUACUCCAUACAUGUGUCUAAAGAUUUGAUGUGACGGGGAUUUUGAAAAAUUUUAGAUUUUUGGGUGGAAGUAAACAAGACCCAAGUUUGCCUUUUUGACGCUCUUUUUGUUUCCUUGGCAUGCAUCCUUUGUUUUCCAUUCAUCAGAUCAUCCUAUCUUGACCUUCCACCGCUAUAUAUGUACUACCUCCGACCUCAAUAACAAAUAACUUUCUAGCGUUGCUCAAAGUAAAAUCCUUUUAAAGUUCGACCAAUAUUUGUAUAACUAAUAGAGGAUUAAUUAGUAUCUAUAUAUGACACCAGAAAAACACUGUAUGGAAAUAUAUUUCGUGUGUUAUACCUAACAAUACUUUUUGUGUCAUAAAUACUAGCCCUUUACGUGGUAUUUUGUGACCAAAUUUAAAGGUAACCAUGCUUGCGUAUUGCAUGUGCGCAUCUCUGCAGCCUGCACACACCACCGCCACGGGGACUAUCUAAAAAAGACCGGGUGCAGGCCGGCGGCAACGUACAUUGUACUAGUACCAGUUCAGCAUGCUCUUUUUUUUAAAAAAAAAGUCCGCAUGCGAAAAUACUCCAAGGCCUUGUUUAGUUUCAAAAAUUUUUGCAAAAUAGGUACUGUAGCACUUUCGUUUGUUUGUGACAAAUAUUGUCCAAUUAUAUACUAACUAGGCUCAAAAGAUUCAUCUCAUCAAUUCCGACCAAACUAUGCAAUUAGUUUUUAUUUUCGUCUAUAUUUAAUACUUCAUGCAUGCGUUUAAAGAUUAAAGAUUCAUGCAUGCUUCUGGUUCGUGAAGAUGAUCAAGGACCGCCGGACAGGUACCCCAUAGUGCAGGAUCAUUCUAGAAAUCUGUUCUCUUCACCAUAAUCCUGUCCUCCAAGUACGAGUUUUGCUUUAAUUAAUGCUAAUGCAAAUAGAUUGUAAUAACAUUUAACAGAGAAAUGCACUUCAUUCUUUUUUGUCGACCAUGUUUACGCUUAUUAGACAACUUCUUGUCAUAAAUUAAGCAUUUCUCUAUUGCACUCAAUAGAUAAAAAGAGUAACUUAGUGGGCUAAACAGAUGCAAGGCGGGUUACCCACAAAGGGCUAUUUAACCCCGCAAAGGAAAAAAAAAAAGGCUAGUUGCGGGUUCACGUACAACCCGCCUAACAGCAUCCCCAGGCUCAACAGCUUCUGUUCAUACACUUUAUUUAUUAGUUUACAUGUAAAAUAGAUACAUAUGAUACUUCAUCACCAAACCAAAGAGGGUCACAAUUUUCCAAAUAUAAAAAAUCCAAACCAUAAUUUCCUCUGCCACACGUGUUGAUGAGGAUUUGGCCUGUUUACUUCGCACCCUGGAAAGUUUUUAGGGUAUUGUAGCAUAUGUGUAACUAUAGCAAUUAGUGUCUAAUUAUAGACUAACUAAAUUUAAAAAAUUCGUCUUGUAAAAUAUAUACAAAUUGUAUAAUUAAUUAUUUUUUAUCUACAUAUCUAAAUAUUUGAUGGGAUAAGACGAAAAGUUUUUAUAAACGAGGCCUUUCUACAUCCCGUGCUCUCCUUUGCAAGCAAAAGAAAAGGAAAAGAACGAAGAGACUCAAAGGAAGUGGACUAGUAACUAGUAAUGGGCCAGAGCCUCAAACAAAUAAAGGGAAGGAAGAUCUUACCCUGGGCUCUCUGUGGUGUAGUCAGGAGCCCAGCUCUUUGGUGUGGCCCACUAUUCCUGUUGAGCGACGAGCUGGCCCAUAUCUCGUCCUCAGAAACUCAAAUCGAGCCCAUUUGCCUUUGCGAUCACCUGCUUUGCCAGCUCCAAUUUGUCUAUCCAGCUCCAUCAGUUAAUCAACUUUGACCAGAUAUAUAAAAAAAAUAUAAAUGUAUAUAAUUAAUAUCAUUAUAUAGAUUAAAUUGAAUAUAUUUUUACAAUAAAUUUAUUUGAAGGUACAAAUGUUUUUGAUAUACCCUAUAAAUCUACUCAAACUUUAAGAACGUUUAGGCCUUGUUUAGUUUCCUAGGUCAAAAGUUUUGGAAAUUGUAGUACUUUCAUUUGUAUUUGACAUUUAUUAUUCAACCAUGCACUAACUAGGUCUAAAAGAUUUGUCUCGCAAACUAUAAAAAAAAUCGUGCAAUUUAUUAUUAUUUUUAUCUAUAUUUAAUGUUCCAUACAUAUGUUAUAAGAUUUGAUGUGACGAAAAAUUUUAAAAAAUUAAGUAAACAAUGCCUUAAUUGAUAUAAAUACCAUAGCGGCACUUAUCUUGAGAUGGACUGCAUGUGGUCCAUAAUAACAGCCACAGGCAACUGUCAGUCAAGGGCUCAAAGCAGAGGAAGCAGCCAACAAACCGUGCUUAACAAAGAACACACGGCAGCCCUUGAACACUGGAACAGUCAACAAGCGAGCCCUAGUGAUGUGAUGUUGAUGUGAUCAGCAGGCGUUUAGACAAGGGAUUUCAUUGGCUGAUUUGAUUAUACUCUGAAUCUGUCAGAUUGCGACGGCUUGGACGAACCGAACAGACGAUCUCAAACGUUUUUCAGCGUGCUUGUGUCACCACUCAACAAAGCAGACAGCUAGUGUCACCAAGUCAAACAAACACAUUUUGUCAAAAAAAAGUCAAACAAACACAUGAUGGAUAACAUAUAAACUGGCUUUACUGCAAGUCUGCAUAUUGCAAGAGAUGGAGGCAUGGUCGGAGCAGAUGUGUGCUGCUCCUCGUGCCAUCCUUCUCCAUGAAUAGUGCUCCAACAGCAGGGUGUGGCCUACUGAUCCACUAGCGAGACAAAAAAAUAAGACCUUGUUUAGUUUGUGAAUAUCUUUGGAUUUGGUUAAUGUAAUAUUUUUAUUUGUAGUAUUAAUCAUAGUCUAACUAGGCUUAGAAGAUUCGUCUCGUAAAUUAUAUACAAACUAUUCAAUUAGUUAUUUUUUUAUUUAUAUUUAAUACUCUAUGUAUGCAUUCAAAGAUUUGGUACGAUGGGACCAAAAAUAAUUUUAGGAACUAAACAAAGCCCAAUCCAAAAGAAGAGGUGACUGGAUUACAUACAUUCCGUGUGUGACGAAAAGUUGCUCAGAAAAUGAGAGGAUUUUCAGUUGUAUUUUCUUGAGACGGACCACCGUGAUGGCUUGGUUGUACUGUUUACCAAUUUUUUUAUGAGAGAAAAUACUAUUAAAUAACUGACAGAUUAGAUAGAUAAGCUCAAGCGAACCGACUCAUAGAGCAAGCAACCAAUAUGCAAGUCAAUUGGAUAUAAGCACAACUCAGAAUUAUGGACGGUGUCUUACGAUACAGGUGGAGUAAAUAUUGUCCGGGAUAAGUUGUCUAACAAAUAUCCGUCCACUAUAAUAGACAAAUCCUUUCGCUUGGCUGAAAAAUCAUAUUUAAAAAUAUUAUUUAUUGAUUUAUUGUGAAAGAAAAAUGUUGUUAAUAGUGAUAGCUAGGUGUCUUUUAUUCCUUUGGCAAAUGAAUAGAGUGGUUUUUCCAUGCAUAAAAGGUACUGUUCGGCCAUGAUGCAUGGAGCCAUGGACAAGUGUAGUCCCAUCUCCUACUUGAUGGAGUGCACCACGCAGGAGAAUCUCUCUGGAGAGGGGAUAGUACUAGCCUGAUCCACUUGCAAUUGUACCUUCCUGACUGGCCAAAAAAAGAAACGAUCUCUCUAGAUAAGGUGACUGAAACUUCAGUUCUGUACGUAUUUUCCAGGGACCGCACACACAUGUGAUUGGAAACCAUAAAGCAGAACAGUGUUAAUUCGGUGAUAUGCAUCGCACAAAGAUAAUUUCUCCUUUCUUCCCUAAAUGAUUGGAGUUGGUUCCAAUCAAAGUCCAAGAAGUAUUUUCUUCUUGUAUCCAUUAUUGAACUUUUAUAGAACACUAGUAAAUAUGUCCAUGCGUUGCUACGGGUUAAUAUUAUAUUUUUAAUUGUUUUUAUUUAAUUAUAUUGUGUAUUUUUUUUGCUAGGGCUUAAUGUAUUUUUUUAAUAUGUUUCAGCUUUAGCCUUUAAUUUUUAUUUAUUGAAGAAUAAAUAAUUGACAUAACAACUUUUAAUUUAUUUUGCUCUUUGUAGUAUGAAUUAUUUUUAAAUUUUCAAUUUUUCUUUUAUAUUUGUUUUUUAAUUUUAAAAUCUAUGCAGGAAAUUACAUCUUUUUCUUUUAUCGCUACUAAUAUUUCUUGUUAAUAAAUAUCCAAUUUUUCAUUUUUUUUUCUUAAUGAUUUUUUUAGAAUUUGAUUAAAAUGUUAAACUAUAUUGUUUGGAUUGGAAGGAAAUUUUAACGAAAAAAAUAACUAAGUUUUUAAAACACAACUAACCUAAGGAUAUUCAUUGAAUUUAUGCACUUAUUAGGCAUCCAUCCAAGAGCCCAAUACUUGCAUGCACGCACAGCCCAAACACAUUGUCCCACAGCCCAAAUUCACGCACCCAGCACAAGGGGAGAAGUGGAUAAGAAAGACACGCAUCUGACCUGUGUUUCGUCGACCCGCCGGCGGCAGGAAGCUUGCGCUUUGCGCAAUCGCCGCCCCUCCCCUCCCCUCCCAGCACGCCGCAAGCUCUAGCAGUCCAAAUCCCACUCAGACCAUCGCUCUUGAGCGUGUAGUAUCACAUCCGUUUUCUCUCUUGCUACCAUUGUGCUCCAUCGCUUGGCCAUCGCCAUCGCGACGUUGGCAGCUGGGAACGCAGUCACUCCUCUCUCCGCAACUCGCCAUCCUUGUCGAUCUGGGAGACGGCCUCCAAACAGGGCCAUCUAUCUCUCCCUCGCUCUUUCCCCUCCGAUUCGACCGAUGUGGGCUGCGGCUGGCGCGAUACGGCCCCCCUCUUCCCGGUCCCCUAUGUCGUAAGCGGGCAAUCAGAAUCCCAAUCCCCCGCACGCCAGCGCGCCGGUGUCGUCUUCUCCACCAUGAACUCCAUCGAGCCCUUCAACCGGUGAGCCCCGACCCUACUCCAUUCUCGAAACCCUAGCCGCAGCCAUUUCUGACCUUGGCGACCUCCUUUGGUCCUCCCCAACCCUAACCCGUCGCCUUCUGCUCCGUUCGUCAGAUUCUCGUUGUCUCAGACGGCAGGUGCACGAGCCGCCCCUUGGAGGAGAUGACGCGACCCCUGGGGGAGUAGGCGGCUACGCGGCUCCGGCAAACCUGAUUGGCGGUGCAGGUGCAUCAGAUUGACGGUGUGGGCGCCCCUGGCCACGCGCGUGAGGGAGACGAUGUCAUGGGCACCGUGGCUAGCGAGCGCAGACGCGGCGGCGCGGGUGCCCCAGACUGCCUGGAGACGCGACCCUCUCUGAUGCCUCUUUGAUUCUUCCUCUUAUUUCGUCCAUUCUUUCUCUGAUUUUGUCUUCAAUCAAUUUGUGUAUGGAUGGAGAAAGGAAUCCUUUUUUGUUUAUUGCUGUGGAGGUCGACAGAGGAAACAUCAAGUUUGUUCAAUUGAUGAUUUUAUAAGUUGGCUUUCUAGAGUUAGUCUAAUAUGAGUUUGGAUUUGGAUCCGUGGGGCAGUUUUGAUUCAGUCUCGGUUUAGUCCCUUGCACUUUACUUGCAGAUUUAAAAAAUCUUUGGAAUAUAGAUUUGGGAGGGAUUGGGCAUGGUUGGUGGCCUUUAUUUGGUACACAUGAUUUUUAUGUAUGUGAUUUUGUUUUGGACUUAUCUGAUCUGAUAUCUGGAUCUGGUUUUGUGCAUUGCUGGGUACAGGUCUUAUCGUGUGCAUGUCGGAUUUGAUUUUGGGAAGGAGAUCCGGUGUUUAGUAUGUUUCAACUCUGCACCGAGGCCGUGUUGGACUUUGCCAUCCAUACCAAAACGGACUGGAGAUUGGCAGAAAAAAAAAAGGCAGACUGAAAUUUUGGCUCUUUAUAGAUAGGUAUAGAUAUAUAUGCUUAUUAGAUAUGGAGAACAAUUGUGUUAUUUUAGAACUAAUCAUGAGGGUUUCAUAUUCUGGAUUUGCAUUGUGUCCGAUUAUGCUCCAAAAGUAGAUUCAAACGGCACCGUACUUUUUUACCAUAGAAAGUACUAGUAGUAGUCUUUGCCUUUCUUAUCGAAAGUCCCUCAAACGUGAUGGGGAAUCUAUAGGUUUUCGGCUUAAUACGUGAUGAGGUCCCGAUGAUGCCUACCUAUAAAAAUAUUUGCAAAGAAAGGGUGGAGAACAUUGUCCUAGAACUUUCUUGUGUGUGAUUUUCUUCCGGCACCAAAACUCUUGGUAGCAAUAGACAUUGAGCUCGUAAUCUUAAGAGAGAUAAGUUUUAGAAAAUAGUAAAUAUAUUUAGGGCCCAUUACUAAUCUCAAAAUCCCUUAUGUUUGCACUCUUUAAUUUAUCCAUAUUCUAACAUGGUUUUAAAUAUAAAUAUUUUCUUAUUUUUUUGUUCAAGUUCUACUUCCUCUAUCCAUAAAAUGAUGCAAUGAUCACUUUUCAAGAAACCAAACGAUUUGAAGUUUGACCAAAGUUGUAUAAAAAAGUACUAAGAUUUAUCAUAUAUAUAUAAGUAUAUUAAAGUAAUUAUGAAAUAUAUUUUUAUAGUAAACCUAAUUGAAAAAGAAGAAGAAUGGGCUGCAAUUAGUAUAGCAAUGGUGGAAAGUGGCGGUGCAGGCGGCGGUGGUGUGCCGUUGGAGUGGAGAGGGGGUUGAGGCGGGGGCUCUCGCACUGGACCUAAAUAAGAGAGUUUGGGUUAGGGUUGGCCAUGGUCGAGAGCGGCCGCAGAGGCACGCCGAAGCUAGGCCGGGUGAGGAGGCUAUGGGAGAGUGUGGGAAGAAGAAGGGGACACACGGGGGAGAAAGAGGUGGCGUGCGGGUAGAGUCAUGUGCACAUGUGCAGGCAGCCCGUAGUAGAGUCUAAAACUAUUAGUAGCUCUUGGUCUUGAAGGAGAUCCUAUCUAUCUUCAAACGAUGUGAAUGGCAUGGAUUUGGAAUCCUUCUUUUUUACUUCCUCCAUCUCAAAUUGUAAGUCAUUCCAAGAAUUUUGGAGAGUCAAAGCAUCUCAAGUUUAACCAAAAUUAUAGAAAAAAUAUAAAGUUUUAUGACAUCAAAUAGAUAUACUAUGAAAUAUAAGUGAUGAAGAACCUAAUGAUACUUAGUUGAUAUCAUAAAUUUUAUUAUCCUACUAUAUAAAUUUGGUUAAGCUUGAGAUGUUUUGACUCUUUAAGAUUCUUGAAAUGACUUGUAAUUUAGGAUGAAGGGAGUGCUAAAUUUGUGUGCACCCGUUGAGAAAUUGGUAGGUAGGGAAUGGUAUAGGAACCAGACUCCACGCUUACUUUAACCUCCGGGGUCACCUUUGGCACCAAUUGAGCCCAAUCAUCAUAUGAAAAAGGCAAUCUCUCUAACCACACGAGUGAAAAAAAAAACAAAAAAAAAAUUUAGCCUAUCCUUCAUUCGUACUAGUAACACUUUACGCGCCGGUUUGGAGGACAAGGGUGCUCGCUCGCUUGUCUUAUGCUCUAGAAACCACACAGAGACAUCAGACAUGUAGGUGUCGUCGUGCAACAGUACAUGUACAACUUACAAGUGUGGUCACACCAGCUAGACAUGUGUGAAAAGCCCUGCCACACAGUUGGCGUGCAUUGCUUUACACCGUUCGACAAGAGCACCCAAUCUUCCAUCAUCCUGCUUUUUACGAAGUUUUUGGAUCGCAUUUUGGCACGGGUAGUGUCAUGGGCAGAAAAGACCUUUGCUGAUUGGGAAAGUUUUUUUUGGUUACCUUAGCUUUAUAGAAGUAAUUGGAAAUUUCUUCCUCAUAUCUUCAACAUAAAUAAAGAAAUGAAUUAUUUCCUGAAUUUUUUUCCUGACGUAAUUGAUUUAGCGACAACUAUGUGAGAGAAGAUAAACUAAUUCCUGACUUACAUAUAACGAUAAAUAUUCAUGAAAACUAAAUUGUAUAGAGCAUCUCCAGUAGUUUGGUAAACUAACUUGCUAUCCUAAUUUGUUUGGCAAAACCAUAAAAAAUAUCCUCCAACAGUUCCUCAAACGAACUUGCUAUCCCUGGCAACUUGCUAUCCUCCAGCCUCGCACAGCCAUAUUUGCGCACUUGGAGAAGACUUGCCAUCACGAAUUUUUCCAUCGCCCUGUCCCGCAUGACCGCCUUCCCUCCCAUGCGCGCCAAGUCCUUCCCACGUUUCUCCCUUCCACGCACGAUGAAAACCCCGCCGUAUAUAUCCAGAGAAGUCGUUGUGGUUUCCUCGUUUUUCAUCCCCGCGACGUCGCCGCCAUCGGUCUUCAUCUUCGCACGAGUCACGAGUCACGCGACAGCUCCUUUCCUCUUCGCGUCGCCAGGUAUCAUAUCAUUUAGCAACUUGCCAAAUCACAAGAUUUGGCAAAUGAUUUUUUCCAAACUAUUGGAGAUGCUCAAACUUAUUGCUUGAUAGUACUCGUACGUUCAAGUAAGAGCAUCUCCAAUAGUACCUAAAAAGUUAUUUGGUAAAUCCAUUAGUUUUCCAAGUGGCUAAAAAAGUUAGGAGCAUAUUUGUUGGGUUCCUCCAACAUUUUUUAAAAAUCUUACUUCUAAAAUGCAAAAGACAAUUUUGCAUCAUGAAUCCCAGACUAUUUGCAGAUCUACUUAACCACUUUUUAUACUUCCUUACCCUUUUGUACUUUUAUAUUAGGAGUCGUGUCCUUCUCCUUAUUGUUUCUCACGCCCUUCUAACUCCACAUUGGCCGACCUAUAAGCCUGCGUAUAUUUUCGUGCGAUUGAGUCGAUUUUUCUAAGUGCAGGAAGAUAUGAAAUUGAGAUAGGGAGUGGGUUUAGAAACUCUUGGAGAUGCUCUAGUAGGUACUAUCGCCUUGGUUGCUUGUACAGUUACAGAGAGACUGACAUGCUUGAAAUUUGAUAUGUUUAGUUUAUAUGUUCCCUCCCCACAUUGAGCUUGAUUGGGCGCCCUGUGCGAAAUAACAUUCUUUCUCUAUAAACUCUCCUACACACUCAGCUCAUUACCAAUUUCUCAUGGUACAGUAAGUUUUGCUGCCUGGAGCCCAUGCGGAGGCCUGGGCUGGGCAUCAAGGUUUUAAUCCGUACUUUUUGCAUGAACCAGACUUGUUAUCUUUGUGUCUAUAGAGAGAAUGAAUCUGUUUUCAUUAUUUUUGUUCUGCUGUUACAAUCUCACCAUUAACCUAUAUUUGGGUGUGUAUUUCCCAUCUAUAUUUGUUGUUGCUUAUGUUUAUACUUCCUUAAUUGUGUUUGUAACAGCAGUGCCUUCUCUGAUCCUAGAAUGUUUGUGAAUAAUAAAAAGAACAUAAAAUGGUUUGAAAAAGAUGAAAGAUCGUCGUACGUUAGUGUCUUAAAAUAAUUUAGUACUACCCUCUUCUACUUUUAGAAAUUUGAAGUUAAUAUUUGUGCCAUUAACUUAUUGUGCUUUUUGUGUAGGUCACUUCUCAAGAAUGAUGGGAGCCACGCAUCAUGUUGUCAUCUACGUAAUAGUUUGGCAUAUGAAAAAAAAUUGUCUAUUUUCUUCUUCUCACAUAGUAUUUUGGAUGAUUCAUCUACAUUUCAAAACAAAACCACUUUAAACUAUGACAUUUGACUAAUACCGGAUAUAAGCCUUGUUUAGAUGCAAAAUUUUUUAGAUUUUGACACUAUAACAUUUUCGUUUGUAUUUGGCAAACAUUAUCCAACCAUAAACUAACUAGGCUUAAAAGAUUCGUCUCACGAAUUACAGAUAAACUACGCAAUUAGUUAUUUUUUAUAUAUAUUUAAUGCUCCAUAAGACUCGAUGUGAUGGAGAAUCUUGUAAUUUUUUGGUUUUCGUGUGCAUCUAAACAAGUCCACAGUGAAGUUACGGUUUAGGAUGCUUUCUUCAACCCCUCCUAUGGCCAUGUUUCAGUUGGUGAAGAAAAAAAAUUUCGCGGUAUUUAUUGUAGUACUUUCGUUUGUUUGUGUUAAUUAUUGUUCAACCAUAGAAUAACUAGGCUUAAAAGAUUCGUCUCGUAAAUUUUGACCAAACUGUAUAAUUAGUUUUUAUUUUUAUCUAUAUUUAAUACUUCAUGUAUGUGUCUAAAGAUUCGAUGUGACGAGAAAUCUUAAAAAAUUAGGUUUUAGGAUGAAAGUAAACAAGGCAUACGUAUAUUCAUCCUGGAUCCCCACUGCCGCUUGUACAUACAAAAAAAAUGGAAUGGGUGCAGAGUAAUUCACUGACACUUCUGCUGGAAUUCCUUGCACAAAAUUGUCCUGCACACCUGGGGCGGCAGCAAAGAUGACAUGCCUUCUCCUUCUCGUAUACUAGUACCAAUCGGUGGCUGUUAUUUUCCAUCUAAUCAUCAUCGUCACAGCGUCCCCAUCAGUAUCACACACACUAUAGGGAGCUACUAGUCAUCUAGUCAAAGCUGCAAGUCGACAGCACGCACCUGUGGUCAAUUCGAUCGGCCCCGGAAUCUUCUCGGAUUAUCAGUCUCUCCCUGUAAUAAUCCACACGCAACAAGACAGACAAUGGCAUCAGCGAUGCUCCACGUAGUGUAUACUAUAUAUACAUAUACAUACUCCACACACAUACCAGUCCAAACUCGAAACCCUCCAUAAUUUUGUGAUCGGGAGCUGAUUGAGCAGUCCAAGAAGCAAGGAUAAGGUUGGUGGACGUGGACCGCCGGAGGAAGAGGAAGCUAAGGUGCCGUCAGCCUCGCCAUCGGCCAUGGAGGGCGGCGCCCACGAGUUCGACGGCUCCACCUUCAAGGAGUGCUUCUCCCUCUCCUGGCGGAACCCCUACGUCCUCCGCCUCGCCUUCUCCGCCGGCAUCGGCGGCCUCCUCUUCGGCUACGACACCGGUGCGUGCGUGCGUGCGCCUGUCCUUCUCCCUUCUUCCUCUGCAUCACCGUUUUAAAUUCAGCUCAAAAAGAAAAAAAAAACCCUUUUUGUUCAUGUUCAUGUUCAUGUAAAAUCCACUUCGAGACCUUUUACGAGCUCGGAUGAUGAUUGUGUGUCUCCAACUAGACAGUGGUGGUUAUUGGUGGCCGAACUGUUUUUAAUUUCUGUAGUAUCUGCUGUAAAAGUGAUCGUGUGUUAGUGAGCAAGCUAGUGACCAGUGACGUGAGCUUGUCUGUGUUGUGUGUGAGUGCAGGUGUCAUUUCCGGAGCUCUGCUUUACAUCCGCGACGACUUCGGAUCAGUGGACAGGAACACAUGGCUUCAGGAAAUGAUCGUGAGCAUGGCGGUGGCGGGCGCGAUCAUCGGCGCGGCGGUCGGCGGGUGGACGACGGACCGGUUCGGGCGGCGUGCGUCGAUCCUGGUGGCCGACUUCCUCUUCUUCGCGGGCGCGGCGAUCAUGGCGUCGGCCACGGGCCCCGCGCAGCUCGUGGUGGGCCGCGUCUUCGUCGGCCUCGGCGUCGGCAUGGCCUCCAUGACCGCCCCGCUCUACAUCUCCGAGGCGUCACCCGCCAGGAUUCGCGGCGCGCUCGUCAGCACCAACGGCUUCCUCAUCACCGGCGGCCAGUUCUUGGCCUACCUCAUCAACCUCGCCUUCACCAAGGCGCCCGGGACGUGGCGGUGGAUGCUGGGCGUCGCCGCGCUCCCCGCCGUCGUCCAGUUCGCCCUCAUGCUCGCCCUCCCUGAAUCCCCACGGUGGCUCUACAGAAAGGGGAGGGCGGACGAAGCAGAGGCGAUCCUGCGGCGGAUCUACUCGGCGGAGGAGGUGGAGCGGGAGAUCGAGGAGCUGAAGGAGUCGGUGGCGGCGGAGGUGCGGGAGCGCGGGUCGUCGGAGAAGGUGAGCCUGGCGGCGCUGUUGCGGACGGCGUCGGUGCGGCGGGGGCUGGUCGCCGGCGUGGGGCUGCAGGUGUUCCAGCAGCUGGUGGGCAUCAACACGGUGAUGUACUACAGCCCGACGAUCGUGCAGCUGGCCGGGUUCGCGUCCAACCAGACGGCGCUGGCGCUGUCGCUCGUCACGUCGGGGCUCAACGCGCUCGGCUCCAUCGUCAGCAUCUACUUCAUCGACCGCACGGGGAGGAAGAAGCUGCUGGUCAUCAGCCUCGUCGGCGUCAUCCUCUCCCUCGCCGUGCUCACCGCCGUGUUCCACGAGACCACGUCGCAUUCCCCGGCCGUCAGCGCCGCCGAGACCGCCCACUUCGACGCCUCGCUGACGUGCCCGUCCUACCGGUCGUCGUCGUCGUCGUCGUGGGACUGCACCCGGUGCCUGAAGGCGGCGGGAUCGAGCGAGUGCGGCUUCUGCGCGUCGGGCGGCGGCGAGCUGCUCCUCCCGGGGGCGUGCCUGGUGUCCAACAACACGGUGCGGGACGCGUGCCACGGCGAGGGGCGGCUGUGGUACACGCGCGGGUGCCCGAGCCGGUACGGGUGGCUGGCGCUGCUGGGGCUGGCGCUCUACAUCAUCUUCUUCUCCCCCGGCAUGGGCACCGUGCCAUGGAUCGUCAACUCGGAGAUCUACCCGCUGCGGUACCGCGGCGUGUGCGGCGGCGCGGCGGCCACCGCCAACUGGGUGUCCAACCUGGCCGUGGCGCAGUCGUUCCUGUCGCUCACGGAGGCCAUCGGGACGUCGUGGACGUUCCUCAUCUUCGGGGCACUGUCCGUCGCCGCGCUCGCCUUCGUGCUCGUCUGCGUGCCGGAGACCAAGGGGCUCCCCAUCGAGGAGGUGGAGAAGAUGCUCGAGCGCCGGGAGCUCAGGCUCAGGUUCUGGGCGCCACCACGCCACGACGUCGAUGGCAACGGCAACGACAGUGGCAAGAACACUGGCGUCUGAGACUGUUUGCUCCAGAGCAAUAUUUUGGCAGUAGAUUUGGGGGAGUAGACGCCGCCGUCUGACACGACACCUUCGUGAAAUUCUGCGCUAGGUUCUCAAUUUUCAUCCAUUUUCUGGUCAUGGACACGGUAAAAUUUCUCCUUCUGGCUUCUACUAUAUGCCAAUCUCUUCUGCAGCAGCAACAGCACCGUGCAAUUGCAAUCACAAUCGAGCUCUCUGUGUCCCUUCUUGUGAAACCUCCUGCUCGUAUGUCGUAUGUGGCAACGUCGAAGGUGGAGAGAACCAUUUCAACAACGAUUAUUUGAAGCUCUAAACUCCAGUAGCUACUAUUUAGUAGUAGCGUCCAGUUCCUUUAUCAUUUUUGCUCCUCUGGGCUAUUUAUUGGCGCUUCUGUUUUAUGAUUUUUCGGUGUGAUUUUUUUUUAAAAAAAAUAUUUAGCCAAAAUAAAUUUAAAAAGACAUUUUUUUCUUCAAAAAUGCUUAUAACAAUUCUAGGGAAGUAAAAUGAACAGUUUUGAAAGUUGAGAGAGGUGUUUUGCCCGGUUUUGAAAUCCAGAGAAAAAGGUGAACUUUCGUGAAAGUUUAGGAAUGUAGUGUGGACAUUUUCCUUUCAACAAUGACAUCAUUUGAAGUGAAGCGUCGAAUUUCUUUUCUCAUUUUUGUGUUCCUAGAGCCUGUUUCUUGUAUAUUAUAACUCCAACUCUACUUUCUACUUAAUGAAAAGGAGGAACACCUACGAAAGUUUGCUCUAAAAAAUAUUCCCACGAUCAACACCAGAAUUUCUUAAUUGUUGGAUUGGAUUUGCAUCUAGGGGCUCACACUUCUUACAUGGUCCCACUUCUAACUCUUGGUUAUAAGGACAUGUUUGUCAUAGCUCUGCUUUACUGGUGGAGCGGUAUUCUUGUACUUCAACUCCAUUAGUGAAGCAAAACCGUUUUGGUAAAACGUUUAGCCAAAAAACUCCCUAUGGUAGCUAAAAAGAAUGAAAUAACCAUAAUUUCCUUCUCCUAUUUCUUUAGAUUUUCCUAUUUUCCUAUUUUCAGGCUCUCUACUUGUGGAAUUGUUUGAAAAUUAUCAGAUUGGUAAAAUAAAAGUUACAAACAACUUCUGAAACUGCUAGAGAAGUUGUACCAAACAAAACAUAAGUACUCUAUAUUUUCAAAUCAUAUAGGGUUUGCUCACAAAGUAUAUUAAAAAUUUAAAAGUGUAUUAGUUUCUUGUGAUGUAACCUGUUCACUAGAUUCGAUUAUUCGACUUAGUACCUCGUAUUUUCAAUUUUGCCAGUUUCCACAAAACGCGUUGAGAUGAGAUGGUUAUUGAAUUGAAGAAAAGUAAAAAAAAAAAAGCACAGGGCAGCUUUCUAAAAGCCCAAAUGGUCCAUAAACUGGGCCUUACAUGGCCCAACAGAGAGCCAUGCCCAGCUAGCUAGCUUGCUCUAUUUGGUGGCGCCAAAUAUAAUUAACUUUGAUCAAAUAUAUAAAAAUAUUAAUAAUUAUGGUACAUAAUUAAUAUCAUUAGAUAGAUCUUUGAAUUUACUUUUAUGAUGAAUUUAGUUAGACAUACAAAUAUAUAUUGUUAAUAGUUUUUACAAAUCUAGUUCAAUUUAAGAAAGUUUGACCGAUACACAAACCAUAAGGACGAUAAAAUAGAGACAAAGGGAGUAUACUUAGUUGGACUACUUGCACCUCUUUGACAACAACCUCCAUGGCAUCUUCCCUCCAUUGUUGGGGGCAAAUAACAGCCAACUCAGGAAGCUUGAAUUGUCGGACAACCAGCUGACGGGGAGCUCCCCGAUGGAACUUCCUCGUCGGCAACAUCCCUGCAGGAGUGAAGGCCUGCACUACUCUGACGCGUCUCUGGUUGGGGAAUAACAUGCUGACCGGAAGCUUGUAGUUGGGGCAAUCUUGUUGUUUGCUCGCUCCUUGAGUUGAAGAUGUCGAAAACUACGCUUUUGCUAUCCUUUGUAAAUGAGGUUGCAUGCUCAAGCAGUACAGCUAGGGGCUCAGCUACCCUCAUCGAUGUCUAAGGUAUUUGUGUGGGUUUACAUCAAACCUGUAUACCUAAUAAGUAACAAAGAAAAGGUACUCAUACUCAGUGCUAUUCGAUACAUAUAUGGUACACAUAUAUACACAGAAGAGAUCUAGUUAUAAAUUAAAACUUGACGAGAAAGCUUAAAAAUGUCUCAACCAUACAUAUUGUAUCUCAAAGUUUUAUCUCUCAAUGCCAACAUUGAGAUGCACACAGCCGCCACCGAGAUCGAGGUCGUGGCCGGUGUCUAAGAGCACAGCCGUAGUCAUUUUAGGUUCACUAGUACUCCCUCCAUCCCAAAUUGUAAGUCAUUCCAAAAAUCUUGGAGAGUCAAAGUAUUUUUACGUUUGACCAAAAUUAUAGAGAAAAAUACUAAGAUUUGUAACGUAAAGUGAAUAUACUAUGAAAAUAUAAUUAAAAAAGAAUCUAAUGAUACUUAGUUAGUACCAUAAUAACUAUUAUUUUAUAAUAUAAAUUUGGUCAAACUUAGAAAAAUUUGACUCUCCAAGAUUCUUGAAAUGACUUACAAUUUGGGAUGGAGGGAGUACCUUAUUAUGUUAGUAGUUGAUCUCCUCUGAUUAGGCCCAACGGCCUAACUGGGCCUUGACUUGCACAAAAUGAUGGUAACAGACGAUGGCCAGACUCGCGUAGCUAGCUCCCGAUGGAGUUCUAACGAGAGGGGACGGAGAUGUAUUCAAGGCGAUGGGGGAACGGAACGGUCACAGCAUCCAAUGCGCAGCGCAUACAAGGAGUCACGGCCGCUUGGGGAGUCGGCGAGCACGGGUCCCAAGGAAAAUACGGAGAUUUUUGAAAAAAAAAAAUGAUUAGAUGAAGGACAUAUAUGAACAGAGGGAGUAAAUAGAUACUAACCAAUACGAUCCAAAGCAGGAGCUGCAUCUUCAGCCAAUUGAUUUUCUUUUGAAUGUCAGGGAAUAGUUUUUGGCUCUGAAACAUACAAAGUUGGACUAGAAGCAUUUUUGACAUUCUUCACUGCACCUAAUUUCACAUUGUCUUUUGACUGAAAACAAACAGGAAAAAAUGUUGUCAACUAUAACAUAAUCAGAACAAGUACAAAAAAUGGCUCCACAAAGAUUACAAGCACAAACUGAUCAAAACCCUGCAAUUAGUUCACAACAACCUAAUUAAAAUACAUCCUACAGCCCAGGUAACUCAUCAACAUGAUGAGUACGUACAGGGCAUGAACUAAAACCAAUGUAAACUGAACUAAACCUAGCCCUUUCUAAACUGAUCUAAACUGAACUUCAGACUGCCAGAUAGAGGCGAUACAAAUACACACAAACCAAGAGCUCCAAAACUGAAUUGAGCUUACUGAACCUACGCAACUGAUCCAUCAGAAAAGGAACAAUGCUACCUACGAAACAAUACUUGUGAACCUACAACAUGCUUGAUACUUAUGUAUAUCAAGCAUGUUUGUACACACAAAAAUAUAAGGCAUCUAUGCAUCCAUCUAUCAUCCUUCUCUCUCCUCAUUGGGUUCCCUUUCUUCCUUCAGUUCCCUUUUGGUCUCUGCUUGUGUAGAAGCAGAUCUAGCUAGCUUCUACAAGGGACAUGGUAGUUUUUCGGUUCCUAGCUCCUUCUUGUUGGACCAGUUGGUGUGGUACAAGAGUAUGUGUCCAUCAAAGCGUGUAUGAGCGAGAGGUAACUUGGAAGAGAGAUAGAUAAAAGGAACUGCCAUGCCAACUCUUUAGCCAAGGGCUUCAUCCCACGUGCUACCUCUCUCUCUGUCUCUCAUACUCAUAGUGCUCUCUCUAUCUCUCAUCACAUCACAUCACCAAUUCACCAUGUGUGUGUUCACGGGAGUUGUUGAUGCACCUGAGCGACACCAAGGCUCUACAUAUCAAGAGGAGCCAAACACAAAUUUUGCAGUGAAGUUGUUGGGUAUAUAUAUGUGUGUGAAUUUUGGUAUUUGGUCUACACACAGAAGAGUAUUUAAGCCUUUUCUGUGCAUGCCUUUCCAAAUAUAGAAUUAUUUACUACACUAAAAACUAGUAAGUUCAUCACAGGUUAUACAAACACAGAGUAUUUUAGCCUAUUCUGCGCAUGGCUUCAACUAACUGAAAAUAAGGUAGAAGAUAACACAUAGGAAUCCAUUUUCUUCAAGGACGAAGCCUGACAAGAGAACUCAGAAACAGGGCUGAUAGGCAACAAAACUAAAUGAUUAUACUAUCACCCAAAUAACCUACAGGGCAUCAACUAACAAAAAGAUAAAAGUAAAAAAAAAACAAUAAUGCAACAACCUCAUCAAAAAUAAUAUAAACAUUAAUCUUAUAUAGUGCCUAAAUGUAGUCUGGGAUAUUUAAAAUUAAAGUCGUAGACCUUAGAAAAUUGGCCUCACAAGUGCACUUGGUACAGAUGGCAAAAACUGAAGUGGUUUUGCAUUAUGGAAUUAUCUCUAUAUGUUGCCCUCAAGAUCAAUUGGCAAACAGAGCAGUCCAGAACUAUUCUAUAAUAUGAUUUGGUAAAUCAGUAGACCACAGAGAAAUGAGUAUGUGUUCUAGUACAGAUUGCAGCCAAAUAUGGACUAGAGAAGCCUACAACAUAGUAUAUUCCAGAUUUGACGGUAGACAUAUCACAGGCCACCAUUGGCACAACUGACAAUUAUUUAACAUAAGCUUUGUGCAGUAGCACAAAAAAACUAGGCUACUGUGAACAACUUGAUGCAUGCAACUAAUGGCCAGAUAUGCCAGUUAUUGUCAUUGAGUCGCUGAUUUUACUAAUCUAAUCCAAGUAAUAAUCCUAGAAGGUAAGAAAGAAAUAACAAGCUUGCGAUAAACUAACUAUUAUGGGGGUGGAGUACAAAGUACAAACAGAGAGACAAACUGAGUACAAACCUCAGCAGGGCUGCCGAAAUGAUCCCAAUCCUUCUCCAGAACCAUGGUAUACAAGCCUUGCUAGCUUAGUCGUUUAAAUUCGGACCUAUUCAUUCAAGCACAAAACAUUUCUAUAUAAGCGACAGAAUCAAGACCUAAUAUAUAACCGAAUGACAUCUCAGGUUCAGUAGAAAAAAAAUGUGUACGUCUCACUGACUCAAAAAGACUUACACAAGGCUAUACACAGAUUGGUGGAGCAUGUCAAUCUUGGUCUGCCAAUCCUUUACCGGGUUGAAGCAGUUAUUGAGCAUGCCAAGUGCCACCGGAAGCUUCACGUUGCAUUCCUUGAGAGCUGGCUGGUUCCUCUAUCUGAAUCCUCUGGAGCAACCACGAGAAACCAUCCUCGGUAGGGUUCAUUAAGCCUGCAGAGAGCUGAAACAUGCAUCCAAACAAAAAAGGCACCAUGUUCAGUUUAUAUAACACAACAAUAAAAACCAAAUGCAAUGGUGAAACAGUUGCGUAUCAACACCAGCAUAUUGCAUAUGCUCAGAACUAUAAUUGUUGUGCUCAAUAGUUGCAAUUUACAUUAUUGGUGAUUGCAAUUAUGUAAAUGAGAGAGAGAAAGUGAGAGAGAACUAGACAGAGACAGAAUCGGCAAAGAAAAUAAAAAUGAUAUAAAUUUUUUUGGAAAAACAGGCACUCAGCAUAAGCGGUCACCUAAAUAGUCACUUGAUACUAUGCCUGUAACAACAAUGCAAUAUUAUCUGAUUUCGAUAGGGUAAUACUGUAAUUCCAAGCAGCUAAUGCCUAAUGUUUAUACUAUAAACACAUCUAGUUCAGAUGCAGAGCUGAAAUAUACUAUAAAUGAGUUAGGAUGCAGAGUCACACUAGUUCAGAUGCCUUGCACUUCCAAUUCAAUGCUAGCCUGUACUAGGAAAGAAAUUAAUAGGUAAUAAUAGCAGUAGCAAAUACAUGUUCAAAUUCAAUUGAACAAACAAGCAAAUCGAAUUCCAUGCUAGUUUGCUAUCACUUCAUUCAUACUAAGAUGGCAUGAAUACAAACCAUUGUUUGCUCUCCAUUUAGUAAACAAAGAUACCACAGAAAUAUGACAAGACAGAGGCUUCUUUUGGCAUUUGUAUGCAGGCUGGAAUAUGACAAGACUCUGGAUGUGAAGUACUAAUUAAUUUGAGACUUGCUCACCUAGCCACCUUGCAAACUUGCAGUUGCAGGCAUGAAGGUUGCACUGUUGCAGUCAUGCAAGCAGCAGGCGAGCUCAGCUGCGUGCAGGCGGUGCAGGUGCCCCUUGCGGCCAUGCCCACUGGCCCCUGCCCAGGCGGCACCGCCACCGAGAAGGCCAGGUGGCCAGCCGCCAGCAGGGGGAAGGCCGCAGGACGGGAGGCCGGGACCAAUCAGCAGCACAUUCCACGGCAACCAGAAAUCUGUCACUGCAACAACAUCUUCUCCUGGUCAUUCUUGCAAAGAGAGAGAAUUGCCCUCGAAUCAUCCAACUGCAGAACCAAAAGGUAACAACAUCAUCAUCAUUGUAGUUAACAAGAACAUCAUCAGCAUUCCUUUUAGCAAGAACAAACAAAUUCCUGUUAGCAAGAACAAAUAAAGUCAUCUAUACACAAACUACAACUGAAAUGCACAAUCUACUGAUACACGCAUGCAUACAUGUGGAUCAGAGUUUAUAAGUAAAACAUGUAAUCAAGUGCAUGCUUAUCAGUCAGAUCACAAGUUAUAGAUAUAUGUGCAAAAAUUCAAAAAUACACAAUAUGCUCCAUUCAGUAAAAGUUAACCUUUUGAUUUACUGAUUUAUUUGUCAAUCACAAAAGAAUACGUGCUGCCCCAGCUUUAAACAAUAUGAGGUGGAUCCAAGACUUAAUCAGAUCAAGCUGCAACAGUAGAUCCAGAUUAAUUCACGGUCCUUCGGAUUUGCAGGACAGAUUAAAAAAUGUGGAGAGAUACAUUUGUCCUAACAGAUGAAAAAUGGGGACAAAAAAUACAGAGAUACUUCAUCAAGUGCCUCAACAAACUGACAACGCAUAUUCUAGCGUGUGAUUACUAGAAAGUUUUAGCGGAGCUCUGCCAUCGCCUCCGGUGGUUAUCGAAAACAUAACUAAAUAAUAAUACAGCUCUGCCUAGCUCGUGAUGCGUUGGUACUGGCAACGACUCAAGAGUUACAGAUCCUGAACAACUGCAACAAAAAGACAGCAAACGAGAUCGAACUCACCAGACCAGUUCCGAUACUACUCCCUGCCGCCACAUCUAGCAUAUGGAUACCACAGCCUGCUCAUGUGGAGGCACAUGACUUGGAAUAGCCCUGCAGAGAAGAGGUUAUCGGUGAAAACACAAACAAAAAUCCAAAGCAAAUCACGCAUCUGAGAUGGGUUGAAGUUUUGACUUCUAGAUCUAACCUUCAGGCAUGUACAAUACUGCCGGAGCUCAAACUGAGACGCACAUUAGGGUGGAUGUGCCCGAGCUCUAGCUUGAUGGAUCUGCAAGAUGAGACGCCGAGGGCGACCGACGGGAUGAGGCAAGAUUGCGGCGCCGGGAUUGGGGCGACACGCCACUGUCGCCACACGAGCGAGAAACCGAGAAUUGCGAGUGGCGAGACAGAGGGCAGGGGCUAGGGCUGGCAUCGCCGGACACCUCACUCAAGAACGACACAAAAUCUCACCCCAAUAGAAAACUCGCUCAUCCCUACACCACAUUUACUGAGAAAUCGCUGGGUCACUGGGAGAAUGGGAGGGAGAGGAGCGGGUGGUGGUCGCGUGGCGGCGGCCAGGCUGGUGUUAGCGGGUGUGGUCUCUGGUCUCGGACCCAAUAAGAAAUGUAGGAUCCAAAUAACAACCAAACCUGCGUACAGAUAUUGAAGCCAAUAGAACGGACAGAAACGUCGGGCGACUGUAGUAUAAGAAAAGUGCAAUAAUAACCAUCACAAACACAAGAUGAGAACAUGCCACAAUCAAACAAAGACACACAAGAUGAGGACAUGCCACAAUCAAACAAAAACAUCCUUCUUUUACCUACGACAUAGGCAAUUCAUAAUUGGAAUAGAGUUCUAGAUGUUCAACUACACUUGCCCUGAAUUUCUCACGAUCACCCCACAUAAACUCAUCCCUCACUCACAUAUCAACUAACUCGUUGAGAGUGAUGAGGAAAAGAGAAACCCCCACGAUCCCAGACCUCCAGAUCACAUGGCAGACAUCACGCUGACACUGUAAAAUAGUGUUAUCGUGAUCGGCCUGUGCCUUCUUCAGCUGCGCCGACAUGCUCAGUAUCUCCCUAUGAAGAGCACCAAACCUGGCGGCGGAUGAGGCAGAGACUUCGGUGAGCUCCCUCUGCAGCCAGAUGAGGUUGGCGCUGUCCGGGGCGACCUUGGUGGUGGGCUUUUUCGCGACGUCGGCGGCGUUGGUCGUGACGGGAGCUCGGAAGAGGGCGGGCGCGCCGAAGAGGACAGGUGCGCGGAGGAGUGCGGGCGCGCCGAGCGCGGGGUUGCGGAGGAGUGCGGGCGCGCCGAUCGCGGGGUUGCGGAGGAGUGCGGGCGCGCCGAGGAGGGCUCGCGCGCCGAGCACAGGGGCGCGGAGCCCGAGCCUUGCCGCCGCGGAAACCAUGUCGCCGGCGCGGAGGUGGAGGGGGCGGGUGGCAGAAGCCGGCGUUGGAAGCGGGGGGCGAAGAUCGGGGGCGGCGGAGGCACAGGAGCGGCGGACUAGGGUUACGUGCCCAUAAAAAUUCGGCCCGCCCGGCUCAGAGCUGUUUCUUCCCCUUUCUUCCGGCCCAGCCCAUAAUACUACAGUACAUUGGAGUAUUGGACUUACUGCCCCUUUUUCAAUUCAAUUCAAGUCAGGCUUUGUUUAGUUGUGAAAAGAUUUUGGAUUUCGCUACUGUAACAUUUUUGUUUGUUAAUGGCAAAUAUUGUAUAAUUAUAGAUUAACUAGGCUUGAAAUAUUCAUCUCAUAAAUUACAGAUAAGCUGUGCAAUUAGUUUUUAUUUUCGUCUAUAUUUAAUACUUCAUGCAUGUACUACAAGAUUCGAUGUGAUGGAGAAUUUUGAAAAGUUUUUGAAUUUCAGAGUGAAC
rnacentral:lncRNA from 1 species